UAAAAGGUUUGAGCACGAAUUUUGUGACGGCAGAAAACGCUGCGAAAAAAAAAUCCGAAGAGGGCCCCAAGUCCUUGCUAAAGAUUUUGCACUGUGACUUUCGCAACCUCUUCGAAAUUGAAAUUGAAAACUGGGGUUUGAUCUGGUAUCAGCCUCAGUGGAUGGGUCGUAUGAAAAGGCGUGGGGUUACAUUCUAAUAUUGAAUGCCAGCCUAGACUGCUCCCAACAUUUUAAUAGUUGCUAGUACGCUAGUUGCUAUCUGCCGUCACGAAGUUCCUGCAUUGAUCAAAGAUCUUUCUGCUGAUCCAUCUAUGUGAAUGUGAUAUGAUUGUGGCGGAUUGCCGUUAUUUGUUUCGGUCUAGAUUUGAAGUUCGGAUUUUUUGUUGUGGUUGAAAAAUUGGGAAAAAGGUUUGGGAUUUAUGAGAAAAUGCUGUAGAACCCAAUUUUUUUCUUUGAAAUUUGAUGGUAUGGGGUCAAGCCAGUGUAUGUUUGAUUUGAUUGUAUGAGCUUUAACUUGUUGGUUGUAUGAUUGAAUCUGUAGGUUGUGUUUUCUUGUUUUCAGAUUGCAGGUAACUCUAGUGUUUCCGAUGGCAGUGUUGAUAUUGUGCAUUUAAAACAAAUCCUUUGUGUGUAUAAUCUUAUUGUAAGUGAAUGGUGCAUGGUUUUUAUGUGAUGGGUUGCCAAGUUUGUGCGGUUUUGGUCGUCUGGAUGCCCGCAUUUCCUUUCUAUGAGAGGUUUUAUGAUGUUUGGCAUUAAAUUUUGCCUCGAGUUGAUGAUUAUCUUGUUUUCAUCUUGGUCAAUUAGGGUAUCCCCUUGUUGAUGUGUUUAGCUAUUUAUUUUUCAUAUGCAUAGCUGCGCGUUCUCUACUGGUAGCAAGAGUCCAUUUAAUCACGUUAAUUUCCUUGUCUUCCAUUUUGAUUGUUGAAGAGUCUCUCUGCUGGAGUGUCUGUUUCUAGAGCUACCAAGAUUCUAUUGUCUCCUCCCCCACAGUUAAUCGCCUCUUUUUUCACCUUGAAGCCAUUGGCGACAUUCAGAUUUGAUUCCCAUAUCAAUUGUGCGCAAACACGUCACAUGAAAGUAUAGGCAUUACUGUUUGGUUCAACAUGGCCUUUACAUCGUGUUCUAAAGGUUGAUGUGAUUACUUGUUCAUUUGAGUGUUUGACCAUGUAUUUCGAGUUAACUCUGUGAAAAGUAUUGCGUGUUGUGCCUUGUUUAGGAGGCGGUCUAGCUGGGAUCAACCCGUACAUCUUCUGAAUCAGUUUAUGACUCAGGUAUUCAAGUUCUGGACAAGAAGAGAACACAAUAGUGUGAAAUGAAAUUUGAGCAAUGUCAGCCCUGGCAGCAUCCUUCGACAUGCUCUGAAUUGUGUAAAAUAGUAGAGAAAUGUCAGUUUUCCUGGGCUGCAGACGUUUGUACCUAGAGUGAUAUGUAGUGCUUAUUUAAGAAAAAAAGAGGCCACUGUUGUUUUUGAUAUCUGAAAUAUUCAAGAUAAUGACACUGCAUUUGCUUGUUCGUUUCUGAAGAUGACAAUGUAUCAGCGGGCGCGACCCACCCACACUAUCUCUCAUACAAAAAAUAAACGGAUGAGAUUGAAAAUAUAAGAUCUAACAUUUCUAGAAAUUAAAUCUAAUGGCUAAAACACGAGUCACUGAGUGCUACAUUGCAUUGAAGUUGGACUCCAAAUGUAGUAUAUCUAUCAUUUAUGAGUUUCAAAUGCGUAGGUUUCGAGCAAGUGAUUUGAAAAAAGAAAGGGUUUCCUAUGAGAAUUAUUAUCGGUACAAAAUUUUAUUGGACACUUCUGGUAAGUGUAUUUAUUUUCUUCUUUUACAUGUGGUAAGUUUAAAAUGCACAAUUAUACUUUUAGAGUGUCAAUAACAGUUAUCGUUCUGGUCUAGGAGUAUUUCUCUUCAUCUAGAAGUGAGAGGUCUUAGGUUCAAAUCUAGUGGAUGGCGAAUUCAAUACUAAAUUAGGUUGCUUAUUGUGUAGUUUAACCGAACUUUCUCUUCUCUUAGUGUAAAAAUAUAUCGAUGUAUUAAAAAAACAGUUACUGUUCUUAUUUGGGCCGUGUUUAUCAUGCCAAUUUUAACCUAUGCAUUCAUUUGAAUGAAAUUGAUUAAAUUAAUUUAAUUAGUUGAUUGUUUAUUUCAAGUAUAUAUUUUUAAUAAUUAAAAAAUAUUAAAAAAUUCAGAAAAAAAAAGAAGAAACUUUUCCACCUUAAAUAAAAAUGAGUGUUGAAUUAAUAGAGCUUCUAAAAUGGAAAAGUGACGCCGACCAUAUACGAGGGAUACACACUCACAAAAAGUUCACCAAAGAAUGAGUAUAUAGUUCCAAUCAGGAUCAUGAAUCAUCACUCCCACCUCUUUUGCUUUCAUGACUUUCUAGUUUGCUUGGAAAUAACUCACGUGUUAUAAUAUAAAUGAACGAUAAAUAGAGAGUAUAAUUUAAGACCAAAAGUCAUAAAUGGUUGCUUAUAAAGGCUUCCAUUUCGUCACAUUUAUCAUUGUGAUUUACUUCUUAUACCAAUUCGGUCUAUCGAUUGUUCAAUUUUCUUCAACUUGUCUAACUUGAUCCCCGCUUCACGUUUAGGGGUAUUAUAAUCUUAUCGUAUUCAAUUUCACUUAAUAGUUGGAAGAUGCAAGCUCAAGUUUUAGAACACGAUCUUUUGGGUAAGAUUAGGCACUUGCAACCAAGUUUUUUUCGAGUUUGUUUGGAGUGAAAUUCGCGUUCACUCCAAUUGGUCAAGUGAGAUUGUACACAACAAAAUGAUUAUACAUGGGCAAAACUUGUAUGCCAAGUUAAAUUAAUGUUACGAGUAAUGGCAUGUUUGGUUGCUUCUAUAAAAACACUUACCUUCAUAACCAUUUUUUUUCAGGAAGCACUUGAAUUUCUAAAUUCUAAGUUUUUAUACCGAACGCAGACAAAAAACAUUUUUAGACCUUCCAACAGUAAUCUCAAACAAUUCCUAUCGUGACAAUUUAAAUAAAGCACAUGUUAUAAUAUGAAUAGGUUUCAAGAUCGAGUUAAUAUUGAAAAUUUUUCAUUUGUUUGGCAUUCGAAAAAUCAAAAUAUUACAUAUAGGUGAAUCCGUGACAACACAUUUUUUAUCAAUCUCGUUUUCGGAUACUAUCGUCCAAUGAUGUGCGUAUUUUGGUGUGUGAAACACUAAGUAAUAAAGAAAUGGUUGACAAAAUCUUCUCAUAAAGAAGUUAUAAUUUAACUUAAGACGUGUUCUAUUUUUCUAAUUUUUCAAAAAAGUACAGAAAACAAAUCAAAUGACCGCCCCACUCAAAUUGUUUAGGUGGCCACUAGUUGACCUAACCAUAUAAUUUGGGUUUUAGUGUUGCAAACUGCAUCAUCUUUUCCACUGGGUUUCAAUAAUUUUCAAAUUAAAUAAAUAAAUAACGUACAAGGAAAUUCCAUAUCAUAUAUACAUAUAUAUAUAUAUAUAUAUAUAUAUAUAUAUAUAUAUAUAUAUAUAUAUAUAUAUCAGCCCCUUAACAGAAGGGAAUGGAAAUUAGUUGUGUGGUCCACACCAUAUUGAACUUCAAUGAUCUGAAUCGUCUAUUUUAUAAGUCUCGAUUUAUAGAUCGUUCUUACAAAAAUUUGAUUCAAUCCGAAACUAUUUGUCUAUUUAAUUGUUAUGAUGAUUUAACGUUUCUUAGAAAAAAGUGUUCGUCAAUUUCAUUUAACUCAAGUAGAUGUCUCAAAUAUUUCCGAUUUGGCUAAUAUUUUGCAAGGAUGAUAUGUGAGGUGCAACUUGGAAAAAUAGACAGUUUGAAUCGUUGAAGUUCGAUGUGGUGUGCGUUGCAGCACCAAUCCCUAAUUUUUUUUAAAUGAAAAUUCAUUUCCUUAAAGAUUAUAUAUAUAUAUAUAUAUAAAUAUAUAUUUCGCAUUUUAUGUUCUGUUUGUAUAAUAUAAUAGAGAUAAUUCUUCUUCACUUGUAAGUGAGAUAUUUUAGGUUUAAUUCUCGUUAAAUGCGAAUUUGAACAAAAUUACUGCUAACUCAUUGUGAGACUAAACCUACUUCCUCACAUUUAGUAUAUAUAAUAUCGUUUGUUAAAAAUAAAAGGGAUCAAUGUCGUGGGAGAAGAGCAAGCAACUAAAAAAGUUUGAGAUGAAAAUAGUUUUAUACUCUUCAUUAUAUUAAUUUGUUAUUAAAUUAUCAUUUGAAAAAUAAUAUCUUAAGACGUAAGUGGUACUGAAAAAUGUUAGGCUUAUGCCAUUUAUGGUACAAUAGCUACGUCAUCGUCGACAACCGUAUGAGUAAGUGAUUUUUAAUUUAUGUUCAUUCGAUUAAAUAAAUCAAAAGAGAACAAAAAUAAAAAAAAUAAAAAAUAAAAAGUUUACAAAAGAGAAAAAGAAGCAUGCAAAAAUCACUAUAACUAUUUCUCUUGAAUAAUUAUAGUAUGGAUUGCAUAUUUCACUCUGUCUACUUCGGAUUGUUUUGAGCAAUCUAAGGUAAACACGAAUUUAUUCAAGCACCCUAGCUUGUUGAGAAUUUUUGUUAAUUAAACGGAUUUGACUAUACGUCUUUUUAUUGUAUCUUGCUUGAUGAUUAUUAAUAAAGUUUUUUCCCUCGUGCCAUGGAGGUUCUCUAAAAUCAAUUAUAAGUAUAUAUAGACUGAACAAAUUAGCUUGUCAAGAAAGAAAUACUAUACUAAUCUUUGUUAAACAUUGUUAAGAAAAAGAGGUCCAAAUCUUGUGGAAAAUGAUUAGUAGGUAUAACGAAAGUACACCAGGUGGUUCGUUUACAAAUUUUUUGGUAACAAAAAAUAAUGCUGGAAAAUCAUGAACCAUGCAAACAAUGAAGAUAAUUAGGCCAUCUUCAAUUGAAAGAGCUAAAUAUAGGCACAUUCUUUUUCGUUGAUUUGAGAAUGUAUUUAUGUCAAGUUUAAUCGAAUAAAUUUAUUAAUGUUAUUAAGUCUAAUAUCUUUUUUUUUUGUGGCUUUGAAGAAUGUUUUGGACAAUAAUUUUUUGUUAAUUUUGAUAAAUGUACCCAUGUUUAUAUAUAUAUAUAUAUAUAUAUAUAUAUAUAUAUAUAUAUAGACACACACAAAAAAUAUAUUGGAGAGUAAUAAUUUAAAUUUUAAUAUUUUUAAUCUCACAAAUUAUGGGUUUUAUUUAAAUCUCUUUAAUAUAAGCAACUACAUAUUUUAAUUUUUAAUUCAAAAAAAAAUAUAGUAACUUACAUAGAAAUACCAAGGUUCUAAAAAACGCUAAGUGAGGCCUAGGUGGACGCCUAUGCGGAUUUAAGUAAAUCAUAUAAAUAAGUGCCUAUUUAUACUUAAAUAGUACAUAAUUGUAUUAAGAAUCUGAGAUACAUAAAUUACAAAAUAAAAUGACAUAUAGAUUAAUUAAUUUAUAUAUAUAUAUAUAUAUAUUAUUGUUGACCCUAGAAACUACAAAGCCUACGUGGCGCGCAGGCCGAGUAAUUAAUGAGCUAACUACGUCCUUCGGUGAAUGCGGGGCGUGCCAACUCGUCGGCCGAGCUCGGCCGAGGAGUAAAUUUGUUGAUGUUGCGUUGGGUCGCGCUACUGACUUCUGCGUCUUGCGAUUGCGGCCGAGAAAGGAACACGUCUCGGCCUCUUGGGCUCUCGAACCUGAAGACAAGGUUACUAUUCUUACGAAGUUCAAUAUCAAAUUCGGCUUUCAAUGUGCCGAAUGUAAUAACUGUAACACCUCACUUCGCCGAGAAGGCUGAUGAGAUGACCUCGACCAAUAAGGAUUUAGAAAUCCUCCUCGACCGAGGCUUGGAUAGGUAAUCAAUCGUUCUCGCCGCAAUGCUGUUGAUGCCAACGGAAGGUACUGCGAGACCGACUGACUCUACGGUGAUAGAGCUAUUUAUGCCGACUUAAGAUAUCACCGGUUGCUUCCACAGUGCUGUUGAUGCCAACGGAAGAUGUGUCAGCGAAAAAGGAAAAAGAAAAAUCACAAGUUGUGAGAAUUUGCGCAGGGCAGUUUUGUAUUGAUUUGCAGGGGGCUUGUUAUGUUGCUAAAUGUCUUGUAUUUAUAGUAGCAGCACAUCGAGCCCGAGUUCCAAUCCUAUUCGGACUAGGUUUCCUUCUCCGGAUUAACAUCCCCUCGAUCAGUCCUAUCUCCGCUAGGACUACGAAUCUAGUCCUUAACUGAGCCGGAUUCGCUUUCUAGAUUAUUGAUCUCGUCGAGAGUCACUAUUGUACUAAGACUCGACUUGCGUUCUGAUUUAACCGACUUAGGCUUGGAAGCCCAUGAGCUGAACGCUCCAUGACCCUUUCGUCGCCCGGCUUCUCGGGCCGAGAGUGAUUCUACCCUCGGCCCAAACUAUUAUUUUGGGCCCAAACAAUUAUAAAAUAGGAGUAAAUAUGUAAAAUUUUAGGGUUCCUUAUCUUGGUUUUCUAACAUUUUUUCCCAAGUCUAUAUAUAUAUAUAUAUUUUUUUUUUUUUUUAAUUUAUUAUUAUUAUUUUUUUUUUUUUUAGGUGACAAGUCAAUAUGUUUUGAUCAUUGUUGGUCCUUAUUUUUCAUUCGAAAAAGGAUUAGGCUUUGUUUUCACAUUAAAUAAUGACAUAAUUAAUUCUCUAAUUCUAAAAGAAAUAUCAGUCACUUAAAACCCCUAACUCUAACCCUAGCAAACAAAUAACCUCACCGUCUCAUUCUUCUUAUUUGCAAAUUGAAAUUUUAUAGAGCUCUGUGCUGUCUCAUUAUUCUUCUAUGCAAAUUGCAAUUUUACGGAGCGAUCUCUAUCUCUCUUCAAAUUUUCUAUGCCGACUCAUCUUAUAGGCAAGCAGAGAAGGGACAGGACGCAUCGACGCGACAAAAACGCAACGAGAUGGUGGAGAUGCACUACUUUUUCAGUGACAACUUUUAAAAAAAAAAUUACAUAACCACCAGAGGCCACCAACGCCUAUUAGCCCUCCCAGGCAACCGUCUAGGUGUUGCCUAAUAGUCUAGCCAACUGAUUGAACGAUUUUGGUACAAUUACAGCAGUGGGCUAUUGUUGAGCACCUACGUCGAUUUUUAGAACAUUAAGAAAUACAUUAUUACAUUAAUGUUAGGGAUUUCGAUGAAAAACUGAAAACCAACAAGAUUUUAGUUAAAUAAUAUUGAUAGCUAGGGACCGUAUCCAAAGUCUCCCAAAAUUAACCAUGGUUAAAUAAAAGGACACUUGACAUAUGAUUAGGUGUAUGGUAAGCAUGCAUCAAAGUUUAGGGUUGUGAGCAAAAGUACUCCCUUGCUAUUUUUACCGUCUAUUUGUACCAUCUCUCUAAUAGAGAUGAGACCCACAUAUGUUGGUGGACCCUCCUCUAUCAGAGAGGUGACACUAAGGAUGGGCAAUGGUUAUGCGGGCGGGUAACCGCGGUUAAUUUACCCAUAACCGUUUAUGCUCAUACCCGCAUAACCGUUUACCCGUUGGGUAAUUGCCUAAACGGUUAUACCCAUACCCAUAACCAUUUAUAAACGGUUAACCAUACCCAUAACCGCAUACCCAUUUAACCGUAACCGUUUAAUACCCGUUUACCCAUUUAUCAUUUUUAACCCGUUUAUCUUUUUUUUUUUACCAUUACCCUUUUUUCACCUGUCUACAUGUUUUUUAACAACUUGAAAAUUAAAAAAAAAUUGUCAAAAUUUUUUUUUUUUUGACAAUUAAACACCGUUAUAGGUACAUUCAUCAUACAUUUCUAUAUUUUAAUUUUUUAAGUUCUUAUACCAUUCUAAUAAUUGAAAUAAUAGUUUACGGACAAUAUUUUUAACUGUUACCAAUGAAGGUAAAUAUAAUAUUUGCUAAGUAUUAUUAGGUUACAAAAAUUGUUUAGAAGAUAUUUCUGUCAAAACAUUUCUAUCAAUUUCACGGUUACCCACAAAGAAUUUAAAUUAAUUUGGCCAAUUCCUUGAUGAUGAGAAUCAUCAUUCCUGUAGUAGUGUUAUUGAGAGAAUGACCGAUGAAUUCUUUGCUAAUUUAUUGGGUGCUAAAUAUUAUUGGAUUGAGAACAUGGUUUGUGUUAAUUUUACAUAUAUAAAAUAAAUGGGUAAACGGUUAUCCAUUUAUAACCGUGGUUAAUACCCAUAACCGCCCAUUUAAAUUUCGCAGGUAAACGGUUAUACCCAUAAUUGUUUAUUUAUCUAAACGGUUACCCAUAACCGUAACCGUUUAAUUUAAAUGGACGGGUAACCGUGGUUACCCAUAACCAAUAGGUAUUUGCCCAUCCCUAGGUGACACAAAUAAUAGUACAAAUAUGUGACAAGGGUAACAUUACUCAUAAUACAAUACCUUAAAAUGCUAGGAACCGUAUCCAAAGUCUCCCAAAAUUAACCAUGGUUAAAUAAAAGGACACUUGACAUAUGAUUAGGUGUAUAGUAAGCAUACAUCAAAGUUUAGGGUUGUGAGCAAAAGUACUCCCUUGCUAUUUUUACCAUCUAUUUGUACCAUCUCUCUAAUAGAGAUGAGACCCAGAUAUGUUGGUGGACCCUCCUCUAUCAGAGCAAGUCCACCCCUAGGGACUUUGCGCCAGCACCCAGCGCAUUUAUCCACUUAAGUGAACAGUAAUAGGCCAAGGCAUCUCCACCCCUAAAAAAAUGCGCUGGCACCCAGCACAUUUAUUUGGUGUGUUUUUUUUUUUUAAGUUUAUUUCGGAUAAGAUUUUUAACCAAUUUCAGAUAAAAUUUCAAAUAAACUUAAAAAAAAUACACACUAAAAUAAAAUUACAUACCCAUCAAAUAAACUUAAAAAAAACACACUAAAAUAAAAUUACAUAAACUCAUCAAAUAAACUAUAAAAAAAAACACACUAAUAUGAAAUUACAUAAACUCAUCAAAUACACUUUAUUCUUCAACCACAAGCUUUUUGGUAUUUUUUUUCACACAAAAAGUAUAUGAAAGCUUUGGUAGAAAGUGUAGAAAAUAUUGAAAUGUGGUGUAAGGUGGAAGAUGAGAGUUAGGUAUUUAUAGAAAAAUAAAUAAAUUUUUUUUAAAAUUUUCUGUAUUUUUUAAUAUUUUUUAAUUUAGUUAAUUAACGUGGACCGUUGAUCUGUGAUCGGACGGUCUAUUUUAAAAGUAAAAUUUUAAUUUUUUUUACCGUUCGAAAUCCAACGGCUAUGAGCAUGCCACGUCGUUGAUGGGAUUCGGAGCACAAGUGGGCUGACAGCCCCUCUGCAGCCUGUCGGCUACUCGCGCCCAGGCGCGCUUGUCGUGCAUGCGCCAGCCAAAUAGGCCGGCUUCUUGGUCUGUCAAAAUUGGGCUGGCCUGUUGCCUGGCAUGGGCUGGGUGCCAGGCAACUUUGUGGGCUGGAGCAAAUUCACUGAGGGCUGGCUUGUUUUUUGGACUGAGGGCUAGGACAUUUUGUUCCCGGUGGACUUGCUCUCAGAGAGGUGACACAAAUAAUAGUACAAAUAUAUGACAAGGGUAACAUUACUCAUAAUACAAUACCUUAAAAUGCACAUGACAUGUGCCACUUAGUACUACGUUCUAGUGGUAUUCCUCUUCACUUGUAAGUGAAAGGUCUUAGGUUCAAUUCUCGCUAGAGACAAAUUUGAACCAUAUUAUUACUAGCAUAUUAUCAGGCUUAACCCACUUCCACAGACCCAAUGAGAUUUCAUUAGUCUUUCCGGCCAACUGAAAUCAACUCAACUCCCCCCAAUUAAUUAUUAUUAACAACCAUCAAUACAAACCCAAACACAAUACAAUCGAACUGACUUAAUUUAAUUCAAUACGGGGACUUAAUUGUGAAUUUUUUUAGUGUAGCUAUCACAUUAUACGUAAUGUUAUCACUCUACUAAUGUUAUGAUAUGUGUGUUUAAUUAUUAUAUUAUAACCAAUUAGUAUUAUGAUUUAGUGGUAUUCCUCUUUGCUAGUAAGUCGGAGAUCUCAGGUUCGAUUCUUUGCCAAAGGCAAAUUUGAACCACAUUAUUACUAGCCCAUUGUGAGGCCUAACCCACUCCCCACCCUCUUAGUAUAGAUAUAUCAUUCGUUAAAAAAAAUUAUAUUAUAGCCUAACUCCCUAAAAUAUUGGCCGUGUUGUUCAAUAAUUUUACAUACCAUGUCAAUUAACAACACUAUGUGACAGUGCAAUUGUAAUACUCAAAGAAAAUAAAAUUUCAAAUUUGAGGAUCCAAACAAUUUGAAGGUCUAGUCCAAGUUAGAGCAUCCCUAAUUGAGCUUUAUCCUCCUUGAGGCUACCAUAUUUGUAGCUCUAAUGAAAAUUUUCAUCUCCAAUGGGCUGGAAAAUGAAGCUACAUCUACCACCUGGGCUAGCAACUUCAAUCAUUGGGUAACAAAGAGUUAGGCUACAUCUAGCCUAAAAAACGUAAGGGAAACCCACACCAGAUUGAGGGCCCAAUCUUCUCUUUUUUUUUUAAUUUUUUUUUAAGAAAUGGGUGAGCCCCAUUUUUAAUUCCAAAACAUGAUUUUAAGGGUUUAUUUUCCAACCGUUUAGGAUUUUAAAGAUUUUUUUUAACCGUUUGUUUGAUUAAGAAAACAUAUACAAACAACGAUUAUUUUUUGUGUGAUUGAUUAGAAAAAAAUGUUGUACUUUGUGUUUAAUUUUCAAAAAUUGAAAAAUUCAUAAAAAAAUGAUGAAAUUUAAUUGGUAGUAUUUAGAGACCUAAACCAAAAAUAUAAACAAAUAACAUAACUAAAUUGUGCUAAGAUAAUCCAAUCCAAUGGUUGUUAUGAAAUGAAAAUCUUGUUUGAUUUUGGAGAAUGUGUCAAUCUGAGAGAAAAACCAACGGAUGAGAUUGAGAUAAGAUAAACACAUCCAAUGGUUGUUAUGAAAUGAAAUCCUAUCUUGUCUGAUUUCAUAGAAACAAACCAAUGAAUGAGAUUGAGAUAAGAGAGCCUCCAACAAUGCAUAAAUGAUAAAAUCUAACUUUGUCAGAAUUUGAAUAUUUUAAGGUUAAAAAUUUCAUAAAUUAAAAUUUAAGAUAACACUCCAAAAAUCAAGUUAAGAAAAGUUAAGACAAAAAUAAAUUUACUGCGCAAUCAAAUUACUACAAAAUAAAAUAUAUAACCUCAUAUAAAGCCCGAAAGAUAUAAAGCCCCUUAUGAGAGAAAUUCUUUUUUUUAGAGCCCAAAAGAUUCCUCGGAGGUCUAAAUUGGGAUAUAUCCAUCGCUUUCUAGCCCCAUAUAUAGCCCUUCAUUGGGAUGCUCUUACAAACCAAAACAUGAUUAUCAGGGAUCGCGUUGCUCAAUCAUUUUAUAUACCAUGUCAAUUAACAACACUAUAUGACGGUGCAACUGUAAUACCCAAAGAAAAUAAAAUUUCAAAUUUGAGGAUCCAAACAAUUUGAAGGUCUAGUCCAAGUUACAAACCAAAACAUGAUUCUCAAGGACAAUAGUGGUGGAGUGGAGUGGUGGCUUACCAAUGUUUAAGAUACGGUUGAUAUUUCCAUAGAAAUAUCCAAAAAAAUUAGGGAGAGAUAUGGAAAUGGGUGAUGAAGUCUAAACUUCACCUCAUAUCGAAGAAAUUCUUAAGUUUAUACUAAAAUCGAGAUAUAUCGUCGAUAUUUUUAACACAUUUGUUAAAUAUUGGAGAAACUCUUAUAUUUCAUACAAACCAAUGUUUGAUAGUCCCUAAAUUUUCAUAUUAAAUUUCCAUCAUUUCCAUCGAAAGUAACAGAUGUCGAUAUCAAUAUUUUCACAAAUUUGCAUAUCGAUAUUUCCAUUUAUACUGAUAUUUUAAACAUUAUGGCUUAUCCAUCCGCAUGGUAUAUGAAUUAUGGAAAACUCAUAUGACACCGAUGCUGAGAAACCUUACCAUUUGAAAUCCAAUCAAAGGAUUACUGAAAAUGUAGAAACAUUAUAUGGACCUAAAACUAGUACUGUUUGGUCACCAUGCAAGAUCAAAUUACUGUGUUGCUCAUGCAUGAAUUUAUAGGCUAUCACCAACAAAAUGCCGAGACAUUCAUUCAUAUAUGUCUGGUUGUAUUGUAUGUGAACUAUUUUGGCACUUUUUCUUUAACCUAGAGACGUAUACAUGAUUGAUCCUUUUUUUUUUUUUUUAUAAUAUAAUUUCAUUACUUUUUUGGCUCCACUUUUUCGGGGUCUAGAAUACUCACAGAGGCAUUUCAGCUUCUCCUGUCCAUUAUUGUGUGAUUCACCAGCACUAGAAAUCGAACCUAGGAUAUGUCGUGUGGAAUAUGAGCCUGUAAUUCGUCCCCAACCACUGAGCCACCUCGCGGUGAUUUUUCCCUCGAACAUUCUUAGGGUUGGUUUUAUAGUACCAUUUUUCACAGAAAAUUUUCUUGUUGUUAUAAAUAGAACGGAAUAAAAAUGUAUUUUUUCUUUUAAUACUAUUUUCAUGUAUAUUUUUUUCAUUUUCUUCCCACCAUUGUUCAUAUAUUUUUUUUCUCCCAUCAUAUUUACUCUCUAUUAUCAAUAAAAAGGUGAAAACUAUGAACUCAAAACGAAAUCGCUAUCAGACGACAUUUCCACUUAUAAUUUUAUAAUACAAGCAAUAACAAAAGAGAGAAAACUGAACAUGAGAAAUAUCGACAAAAAAAAAAGAACAUGAGAAAAAUAUCAAGAGAGGGGAAAUCAAACACAAAAUAUCUACUGUUAAGAAAAAUACUGUUACCCACUGGAACUACAACUCCAUGGGAGACAUAUUGUUAUUAUUUACUUCCUCAAAUCUGAACUUUUACUGAUUUAUUACGAUCAUUUUACCAAGAAAACCAUUCCGAUUUCAUUGUAAGUAAACAUGCUCUAUAAUUUUGUCAUUUACUUACAUGGCACCAACUCUGAGUGGACCCAUCAUGGCGCUGGGCCCCAACUUUUGCCCUAAACUACUAAGUGCAGCAUAAACAUCCAAAUAGUUGCCAACCCCUUCCCAUUAGAUAUAUACUUGUUAAAUAAUAUUAAUAAUAAUAAAAAUAAUAAUUUACACCUCAAUAAAUUUAAGUUAUUCAAAUUGAGAACUUUAACGAAAAGCUCAUGAUACUGUUCACUUUAAUGAAAAACCACAUUUUUAUACUAAAAAGUUAAUCAUGGUACUAUUCACUUUACCCUUUAUUUUGUCCUUAUCGUUAAAACUUAAAGUUUUCAAGCCAUUUUCAUUAGUUUUUCUAUUAAAAUUAGCUAGUUGAAUUAAAAAGAAAAUGAAAAUGCAUACCUGCUUGGAUGACGAGUUUAUAUAUAAUUAUUAUGGAAUAUAAAUGACUUAUUAUAUGUGUUUAACCAAAUUUUUACAUUUUAUAAUCAAACAUCAUCAUAUAAAAUGAAAGACAAAGCAAUUGUAGACUGCUUGUAAUCAAGUUAGCCAGACAAUGUAGCCUUCUGUAUUCAAGUUCGAAUUUUUUCCGUCUUAUUGUUUAAAUUAAUUAGAAUAUCAUUUUGUUAAAAAAGAAACACAAAAAAUGAAAAUACUUAUCCCACAAAACAAAUGGAUACAAAUUGAUAAUUGUUUCUGUACAAGCCAGAAAAACUGGCAUAAAAUGCCAAAUACAUUCUUCUGACUGUUAAAUCUCCGCCCUUCCUUCCUUAUCACACCAUCUCUCUCUAUAUCUUUUAUUUCUCCUUCUCUACCUUUUUUUUUCCUCCUUCAUUUCCCCAUUAUCUUCCACUGUGUUCUUCUUCCUCUCCUCGUUAUCCAAAACUCUCGAGCUCCAAACUUUGAGAGAGAAACUGAUAUAGAGAGAGAAAGAAAGAGCAAGCUUUCCUCCAUAUCUUCUUCUUCUUCUUCUUCUUCUGCAUAAUUAUUAUCUUAAUUAUGGCUUUCUACAUGCAUGGCUAUUAAUUGGUGCAGUAAGCUCCUUGUUUUCAACACUUAGAAAAACAAAGUCUUCCACUUUCUUUUCAAAUACUCGGUAAAUGUUCGAAGUCCUACAAACGUUCAAAGUUUUCAGUGUUUUCUUUAAUUAUAUAUUUUCACUUAAUAUUCAAUUUAGCUAUAUAUUUUUGUGCUAACUUUAUGAGUUUAUGGAUUAGUGGAUAAUUAAUUUGUGGUUAGUAUUGCCUUAUGCUUUAAACCUUAUCCUAGUUUUUUCCAAUCUUAUUAACACUGGUUUAAUGAAUUAAUAUAUAUGUUUAGGAGAGUAAUUAAGUAAGUUCAAGUUUAAGCUCAUUCCUUCAAGAGCAAGCUGCAAAAAUGGCGCCCAGAAACAGCCGUGGAAAGGGAAAAGGAGACAAGAAGAAGAAAGAAGAAAAGGGUAUUUAUCAUUAUCUUAUAUUUCUUAUUCAAAUUGCUAAUUUUGGAUUACGUAAGUUAAGCACCGAUUAAGUUAACUAAUUAAUCAUUUGUCCGUUUUUUUUUGCUCUGCAGUUCUUCCUGUUGUUAUGGAUAUCACUGUGAACCUUCCUGAUGAAAGCAGUGUCGUUUUGAAGGUUGUUAGAUUAUAAUUUUUUAAUUUAAAAAAGCUAAAUUCCUAAGUGUUUCUGUCUGUCUUGUUACUUGUACUCUUUGGAAGACAUUGGUUAAGAGCAUAUGUUUAGUUCUUAACUUGUUCAGUGGUUGGAUUUGAAUAUGUACUAACUCCUAAACACUUUCACCUACUUUCCCAUGAUUAAAGUUAGUUUUUUAGGGCUAGAAUGUAAUGACAAAAGUUAUACUAUUUUGUAUGUAUUGACGUUGAAUCUACUAUAUUUACUGAUUACAUACUCUUUAUAAAGAUCGAUUUAUGCAUCAGAAUUUUAUAUAUGUAAAAUAACAGGAUAGUUUUGAACAGGGAAUAUCGACAGAUAAGAUUAUCGAUGUUCGUCAGCUGUUAUCAGUGAACACAGAAACUUGUAACAUUACGAACUUUUCACUAUCUCAUGAGGUAAUUUCCAUUACCCACAUUAUUUCUUUUUUCUUUUUAUCAUUAUUAUUUCAAAGUAUCGAUUUCCCCUUUUGGAUAAGUAUCAAAAAUGGGAUGUAGUUGAAGGAAUUCAAUCCCUUUGCAUUACCAAAUCAAAAGCCAUUACUGUCGUUGCUAAAGGAGAAUAAACGACAAUUGUGACAAAAAAAUAAAAAAAGGAGAAUAAACGACCAUAAUGUUAUUGUCGUUUAUGGCAGGUAAGAGGGCAACGAUUGAAGGACACGGUGGACGUCUCCGCACUGAAGCCGUGCGUUCUGGCGUUGGUCGAAGGUAAUAGUCAAAACGUAUUCCGACGUCGUUUUAUCUCCACUUUUUAUGAUCUUUAUGCCCCGUAGGAAUUGGACACUUGAGGGCCCAUUGGGCCAGAGUGUCCGAACGUCGUCGUAUUAUGCUUCUUCUUCCUCAGUCAAAUUUCUCACUCUCUGUGCUUCUCAGAGGACUACGAUGAACAGCGCGCCACGGCGCACGUUAGACGCGUGCUCGACAUUGUUGCCUGCACGACAAGCUUCGGAGCGUCGUCUUUGCCGGCGAAGGACCAAAGAUCGAAGCUCGAUGCUUCUUCAACUGGCUCCGGCAAAAAUGCUCCGGUUGCGCAGGAUAAGAUCUCCAAGAAAUCCAACGCCACGACCGCCGCCGCCGUCAACGCCUCCAAGUCUCAAGUUCCUACCGGAACCGAUAAGCGAGACGUGGCGGGGGACUCGGAGACCGAGAUGAGCCACUCCUGCCUCAAGCUUGGUUCUUUCUACGACUUCUUCUCUCUCUCCCACCUCACUCCCCCUUUGCAAUGUACUUUCUCUCCUCCCUCCCUCUCUACUACGUGUAUACGUAUGUACGUAUUUAUCUGUGUAUUUGGAAGCAGAAUUUUGAAUUUUUGAAAAAUUGAGUGUAAAUGCUUAUGAAUUUUGCAGUUAUUCGAAGGGCGGCGAAACGGCAAGUCGAUGAGAUUGCGGCGGAUGAUCACAUUUUUUCUCUAGAAGUAAGACCUUCGUCUGCACAAUCCACACGCACCCAAAGACAAUUUAUUUAUCUAUUUUUGGGUCUGAUCAUCGAAAUACAUUGUGUAUAUUGGCAAUUUUUCAGGUGAAGCUUUGCAAUGGGAAGGUGCUUCUUGUUGAAGCUUGCCGAAAGGGGUUUUAUAGCAUAGGGAAGCAGCGGGUUCUCUGUCACAACCUCGUCGAUUUGCUACGGCAGCUUAGUAGAGCCUUCGACAAUGUUAGUAAAGCAUUUGAGUUUCUGUAGUGAUUUGCAUUUAUUCUAUUUCUAACUUUUCAUUUGUGUAUUGAAUAUGUGUAUAUUUAAUUUCUCAUAUUUCAGGCUUAUGAUGAGCUCUUGAAAGCAUUUGCAGAACGGAAUAAGGUAUGGGAUCAUUCAUUAUGCUUUCUUUUAUGAGUCUUUGUGUUAUUAUUUCUGUAUUUUGUAAUUGAUUUUCUUUGAUAUUUUGCAGUUUGGGAACCUUCCUUAUGGGUUUAGAGCAAACACGUGGCUCGUACCCCCUGUUUCAGCGCAGUCACCAUCAGUUUUCCCUGCUCUCCCCGUGGAGGAUGAAACUUGGGGUGGAAAUGGUGGUGGUCUAGGAAGAGAUGGGAAAUUUGAUCUGAUCCCUUGGGCUAAUGAGUUUUGGCAUAUUGCAUCCAUGCCUUGCAAGACAGCCGAGGAGAGGCAGAUUCGUGAUAGGAAAGCAUUCCUUCUUCACAGCCUAUUCGUCGAUGUUUCCAUUUUUAGAGCCAUUAAGGCUGUGCAGCAUGUAAUGGGAAAACCGGAAUUGACUUGUUCAGUUCCAAACAGUGAGAUUCUUUACUCCAAGAGUGUAGGGGACUUGAAUGUCACAGUUAUGAAAGAUGUUUCUAAUGCAAGCUGUAAGGUAGAUACUAAAAUUGAUGGAAUUCAAGCAACUGGAGUGGACGAAGCGAAUCUAGCGCAACGAAACCUUCUGAAAGGGAUCACCGCAGAUGAAAAUACUGCUGCCCACGUAAGUUAUUUCUGAGAUAGUGUUGUUGAUCAAUAAUCUUUGUCUCUACCAAAUGCGAUUUAUUUUGUAACUUUGGUGCGGUUGAGGUCAUUCUUGCUAAAUAUUGUGUGCAGGAUGUCAACACUCUAGGUGUUGUCAAUGUCAGAUACUGUGGUUACAUUGCAGUUGUCAAGGUUGAGGGGAAAGAAAAUAAGAAAGUUGGUUCUCCAUCUCAGAGCAUUGAAUUUGUUGAUCAACCCGAAGGUGGUGCCAAUGCCCUUAAUAUCAACAGGUACGCAAUAAUGUGUCAGUAAGUAUUAUGUAAAGCUACCAACAUGGAGUUUUCAGUGUAAGAGCCCAAUAAUGUGUCAGUGAGUAUUAUGUAAAGCUACCAACCUUUUGUCAUGGAGUUUUGAGUAUAAGAGCCUAACUAGUAUCUUGUUUUUUGCAGUUUAAGAUUACUACUUCACAAGACAAUACCUUCAGAGCAGAAUAAACCGGCAUCACAUAUGCAAACUCUGGAACACGAAGAUCUUUCAGCCUCAUGUGUUUUUGUUGAGGGGGUGUUAGAAGAAAGUCUUGCUAAGCUUGAGAAAGAGGAGCUAGAUUCUGAUAAUUUUGUGAGAUGGGAACUUGGAGCUUGCUGGAUACAACACUUGCAAGACCAAAAAAAUGCAGACAAAGAUAAGAAACCGUCAAACGAGAAGGCUAAAAAUGAGUUGAAGGUUGAGGGACUUGGGACACCUCUUAAAUCUCUUAAGAACAGCAAGAAAAAAUCAGAUGGAGGCAAUACCAAGCUGCAAUCUGAAAGCUCAAAGUCUCAUGUAGAUGGUGUUGUUGCGGAAGUUGAAAAUAGUAUAUCCCCUUCUGUGGAAUCAAAGCUUGAGACUAAUGCCAAAGAAUGAGCUUGUGUUGACAGAGAUAUUGUCUGAUGCUGCCUUUGCUCGACUAAAAGAUUCAGAAACUGGACUUCACUGCAAGGUAAUACAUUAUAGGUGUCACUAGAGGCUUUAGAAUUUAUUUAUUUGUACUACACAUUGUGUACUAAUGUAUUGUGUGCUUGACAGUCUCUGCAAGAACUGAUCGACUUGUCUCAGAAGUAUUACUCUGAAGUUGCUCUUCCCAAACUGGUAAACAUUUUUUUUCUUAAAGCUUGUUAUCUUUUUGCAUGGAAGUAAUGUUUGGUGAUUCUUCUUUCUAUAAAAUAUUCGUAUAAUGCAGGUAGCAGAUUUUGGUUCCUUGGAACUUUCACCGGUUGAUGGUCGGACCUUGACUGAUUUCAUGCAUACUAGAGGUCUUCGGAUGCGCUCUCUGGGGAAUGUUGUAAGUGUGCUUCUAACUUAGGGUUUUCAUUUUUAAUACAUGUCUCAUAUUACUCAUCUACCUAAGAAUCAAUUUCUUUUGUGUCCUCAGUUUUGCUUGGUGUUUAUGUCCCUUCUGAACUUCAUUAACUAUACUCUGUAGUCAGAUUUGUGGUUGUAGUUUGUUUACGUGGCUUUGAUGUAAUAGAAGAAAUAAAAAAGAACAAAAAUCAUGGCAAUUUUCAGAAUAUCUCGAGCUAGCCCUCCCUUUAUUAUGCACUGGUGACCGUUAGACAGUGUUAACCAGUCACGUUAUUAUAAGGCAUCAAAGCUCUAAUCUUCUUUAAGCAUUUCACUAAUAGAAAACAUUAACUUGCAUUGCCUCUCAUCUCCAAACUGAAACUCAUAAGAAAAUUUUGAAAUGCUAUAUGUAGAUGAUAUGUGGAAUGCUGCUUAAAUAGGUUAUCAUAUUGAACGAAAUGACUUUUAUUUCUUUAUAGGUCAAGCUUUCGGAGAAGCUAUCCCAUGUGCAGUCCCUUUGCAUUCAUGAGAUGAUAGUGCGAGCUUUUAAGCACAUACUUCAGGCAGUGAUUGCUGCCGUUGGUAACACUGAGAAAAUGGCUGUUUCAAUUGCUGCUGCAUUAAAUCUUAUGCUGGGGGUUUCUGAUAAUGAAGAAUUAAAUAAGUCUUGCAAUGUUCAUUCUCUUGUGUGGAAAUGGCUGGAGGUAUUCUUGCGAAAGAGAUAUGGAUGGGAUAUUAACAGCUUCAACUAUGACGAUGUGAGGAGAUUUGCGAUUCUACGUGGAUUAUGUCACAAGGUAUAUAUCAUGACACCGCAUAUUAGAUUCUGGAGAUGGCCCACAUUCUUGAAUUCUGACUUCGUAAUUUUACACUGUAUUUUUAAGUUUACACUGACAUUUUGCUUUCUCUUCCCCCUAUCCCCCACCCCCCAAAUUUAGGUGGGUAUUGAGAUGGUUCCAAGGGAUUUUGAUGUGGAUUCUCCAAGUCCGUUCCAAAGUUCAGAUAUUGUCAGCCUAGUCCCAGUGCAUAAGGUGACGACUGGACAUAAAACAUUAGAAGCAUCUGUUUUCCUUUCUUUCGAUUUUUAGAAGGGAUAAGAGUGAUUGCCCAUCUUUAGUAAUUUAACCUUUUCUUUUACUUUUUUCAGCAAGCUGCUUGCUCUUCGGCAGAUGGUAGGCAACUCCUAGAAUCAUCAAAAACAGCUUUAGAUAAGGGAAAACUUGAAGAUGCAGUUGCAUUUGGCACUAAGGUACGCAGACUGGUGCUGGAAGGUUUUCUUUCACCUUUUUAUAUUAAUAUUCUAGUUGGUUACCGGCUGUACUUUGCCAUUUGCAGGCUCUUGCAAAGCUGGUAGCAGUUUGUGGUCCCUACCAUCGAAUGACAGCAGGAGCUUACAGCCUCCUUGCUGUAGUUUUAUAUCACACUGGAGACUUCAAUCAGGUCUGUUCCUAUCCCUUUUGUUUCAGUGUUUCUGGGACAUAUAUAACUGUUACUUUCUGGGUCAAACAGAUUUUAAAUUGGGGGAUCGGCUACAUAUGGUUUCAUAUUUUUAUUGUUGAAGGUGGAACGGAAUGUGCAGAAGUGUGCAAAAUAUAGAAAGUUUGUCUUUCAUUUUGUAAAGGUUUUAUGUCGUGGAUGACCAAUGAUGUGUUCCCAUUACAGGCUACAAUUUAUCAGCAAAAGGCCCUGGAUAUCAACGAGAGAGAAUUAGGGCUUGACCAUCCAGACACCAUGAAGAGUUAUGGGGAUCUUGCUGUGUUCUAUUACAGACUUCAACAUACGGAGCUGGCUCUCAAGUAUGCUUUUUUCUUGUUCAAAAGUGAUCCCGAUGUAUAUAACAUCACAGUUUAUGUGUUUAGGGGAAUAAUUUUCAAAGUGAUGAUGUGAAUGGGUUGCUCUCUCGAUCUUGUGGAUGCAAGCUGCUUGCCAUUUUUGUUUCACAGAUCGAACCUAUGGGGCUAGUUAUGGGGGCAGAUAACCUGCUGUCCCUUUUCUUGUUCAUCGUUGAUGUAUUUCCAUUUAAAGGCAUAGAAACAGGGUGAUAAAUUAGUCAUGAGUCAUAGCUGCAUGCUGCAUAGUCUGUUCAUUCAUUAGUAUACGCGUUAUUUUUUACAUUCCUCACAAGUACAAGCUCACAAUUUCUGCUGUUCAGGUAUGUAAAGCGUGCUCUGUAUCUUUUGCAUCUCACAUGUGGACCAUCUCAUCCAAACACUGCUGCAACAUACAUCAAUGUGGCUAUGAUGGAGGAAGGCCUGGGAAAUGUGCAUGUUGCCCUUCGAUAUCUACACAAAGCCUUGAAGUGUAAUCAAAGGUUACUCGGCCCGGACCAUAUUCAGGUUGUGUAUUCAUUCAUUUAGUUGUUGUUUAAUUUAUUUAUGUCCUAAAGCUUAUAAGCUAUCACAAUAUUCGAGGUCAGAUGCUGCGGUAAUUAAACAGUUAGCGCAAAAAAUGAGGACUCAGUUUUUAACAAGUAAACAACCAGUGAAACUUCAUGUCUUAACACCUUCACAGAUGUACUGCUGGAAAUUUGAUUUAAUAUGGUAAACUGUAAAUUGUUUAUUUUGUAUAUUUGAGAAUUUAACCAUUUUAAUGUUAAAUCUCUCCAGACAGCAGCAAGUUACCACGCUAUUGCAAUUGCUCUCUCUUUGAUGGAAGCUUACCCUUUAAGUGUUCAGCAUGAGCAGACAACUUUGCAAAUUCUACGAGCAAAGCUUGGCCCAGAUGACUUACGGACACAAGUAUACCCUCCUCUUGGUUUAGCCCAUCCUUUCUCUUAAAACUCUUCUACCUCCUCGAGGAUUAACCAUUCAAAAAUGUUUUACCAAACACUGCAGGAUGCUGCUGCUUGGCUUGAGUACUUUGAGUCCAAGGCUUUCGAACAGCAAGAAGCUGCAAGAAAUGGGACUCGAAAGCCUGAUGCAUCUAUUGCCAGCAAAGGCCACUUAAGGUUUGAUAGCAUUGUUAACGUUAAUAUGGAUUGCUGAAGUUAUAAUGUACUUUCUGCUCCUGUUUUUAUGCUUAACCACACGGCUGUAAUUUUCAUUUACCUAUGCACUUGAAUUGUUGAUUUGGAAGUGUAAAAAUGAGGAUUUGAUGGUAAGAGGUGACCCAUUUCCAUGCCUGCAUGCCACUUCGAGAAACUUGCCUUGAUAUUGAAUUUAUUCCUUUUGAAUUUUCCGGUCGGGAGACAAUUACUCUGGCUAAGAUGAAUUAGUGGAUCCUUUACAUGCAUUGCCACUACUGACUUCUUGCCUUAAAUCCUUUCUAAUACCAUAUUGUUCUAAACUUGGCAGUGUAUCAGAUUUGCUUGACUACAUUAGUCCAGCUCAUGGUGCCAAAGGGAGAGAGGUGGCAGGAAAGAGGAAAAGCUACUUAACAAAGGUACGUUUGGAGUUCAGACCCAUUUUCUUUUGUGGUUUUGUUUGCCAUUUCUUUUAUCUUUUUUCCAGUUUCUGUUAUUUCUUCCCUUCUUGAAAAAUAGAGUUUUCGUCGUGGUUAUGGGUUCAACCCAUCCUUAGUUCAUAUGAAAUCUGGGCUCUUAACAAAUGUAAGUAGAAAUAUCCAAAUUGUUGUUGUUGGAAAAUUGGUUACUCUUGGAACUGAUAGAAGCCUUUAUUAAAAUGGAUAAACCCCAACAAAACCUGCUUGCGUGCAAGGUCUUCAUCAUUGGUAACAAGCUGAAGCACACCUACUGGGAAAAAAAAUUAUUAAUUCAACUUUGAACCGAAUAAGAAUUAUCCCGCCCCCAUUUUGACCAUUUUGCGUGAGCUUUCAAGGAACAUUUCUAGUGUUCAGAUAGAGAUACCAUGCCCUGCUAGAAGACACACUUUCUUUACACUCCCUAUUCUCAUUGUCAUGCACAUGAGCAAACUAUUUCAAAUUUUUGUGCAGUUGAAGGAAAAAUCCAUCCAAACUAUCAGUUCAGCUAGUUCUGAUGAGUCUUCAAAAGAAACCACAAAAGAGGGUUCGGACGAAGAGGGUCAGGAGACGAAUGUACUUGAACCAAUUGAUAGAACAGAUGUUAUCCAGGAGAGCAGACCUCCUCUGGUUGAACCUCAGCACGUCGUGGAAGAGAAUGCAGAGGAAAAUUCAAAUGUUUUCGAUCAGAUAUCUUCUGAAACAUAUAUCGAAGGUGGUGAUGAUGGGUGGCAAUCAGUUCAAAGACCUAGAUCAGCUGGCUCAUAUGGGCGGCGUCUAAAGCAGCGGCGGGCAACUAUUGGGAAGGUCUAUAAUUACCAGAAGAAGUAUGUUGAAAGUGACGUGGACUAUUCUUCAGUGAAGAAUAUUAAUCAAAACAGUAGUUAUUAUCUUGUAAAGAAAAGGCCAACAUCUCACGGAAGUUAUGCAGACAAUCAUACUGCAAAACCCUCCCAAGGUACUAAGUUUGGACGGAGAAUAGUUAAAGGUGUAACAUACAGAGUUAAGUCUAUGCCUUCGUCUACCAAAGUAGAUACCGAAGAGCCCUCUAACGGUGGCAAAAUUUUGAGUUCUCCAUCAGAAUCUAUUCAAAACGCUUCACCACAUGGAAUUGGCCCAGUAAAAAAUUCCGUAGUCAGUCUUGGGAAGUCUCCUUCUUACAAGGAAGUAGCAUUGGCUCCACCAGGUACUAUUGGGAAAUUUCAAACCCAGUACAACAUUCCAGAUAAUCAGGAACAUGGUGUCCGAGUUCAUGAGGAAGAAACAACUGAAGUCAAAGGAGAUUCCAAACCAAACACAACUGAGUUAGGAAAUGUACUUGAAGAAAAGGACUCUGUGUUGGACUCUGUAUUGGUUACGACAGACCACAUACCAGACGAAACCGGAGCUGCUGAGAAGAAAGGAGAAGUUAUUUCAAACGAUUCAAAGGAAGAUAAGUCUUCACUGAUGGUAUUAGAGAGUUUGGAUGGACACGGAUCCAGCGGUGUUAAGAUUGAUGAAGUGGUAGAAGAUAACUUGUUGACAGACGGAGUGCCAAAAUCUUUGGGUUCUCCCAAGGGAUGUGAGACGGAUCCAUCUGGUACUUGUGAACUGCAUGACUCCAACUCUACCAUGCAAGGUGUAGACGAUGCUGUGAGUUCAGUUGAUACUCGGGGACUGCCCAGUAAGAAGCUAUCUGCCUCAGCAGCUCCAUUCAAUCCCUCACCACCUGCUGCACGUGCUGCUCCGGUUUCCAUGAACAUUGCAAUACCUUCGGGUGCGGGUAAUGUCCCAACUGUUGCACCUUGGCCAGUAAACAUGAAUCUUCAUCCAGGGCCCGGUACUGUCUUACCCACGGUCAAUCCAAUGUGCUCCUCCCCUCACCACCCAUACCAUUCUCCUCCUGCGACCCCAAACAUCAUACAACCAUUGCCUUUUAUGUACCCUCCUUACAGUCAACCCCAAGUAAUCCGAACCAGUGCCUUUCCCAUUACUAGCAGCGGGUUUCAUCCAAAUCAUUUUGCAUGGCAAAAUGUGAACCCCCAUGUUCCCGAGUUUGUUCAUAGUCCAGUUUGGCCUGGUUGUCAUCCAAUGGAUUUCUCUGCCCCUACACCUGUUGCUGAGCCAAUUUCUGAACCGACAGUGGAGCCAAAAUUUCACAAUGAUGAUUCUGCUCCAGUUCUGCCAGCGGACAUUGACAAUUUGGAGGAAACUAAGCAAGAAGUGAACCUUCUGACGUCAGAGGCAAUGAGCAAUGCAGUUGAAAGUGUAAAGGAAAAUGGUCCUUCAAACCUUUGCAGGGUUGAACUUGCUCAGAGCGAACCAACUGACAACCCAAAUGGAAAUGCUGCAAGUAGCGGUGAACGAACAAACGAUGGAGAGAAAACCUUCAGCAUUUUGUUGAGGGGUAGGAGAAACAGAAAGCAGACUCUGCGAAUGCCAAUCAGUUUGCUCAGUCGACCGUAUGGCUCACAGUCCUUCAAAGUCAUAUGUAACAGAGUAGUCAGAGGGAAUGAUGCUACCAAAGCCACCAGCUUUUCAUCAAGUGAAAAUUGCACAGCUACUGCUACUUAACGCCAAUUUGCUUUUGCUACCGAUCAGGGCAGCCGGAUUUUCUAGAAAAAAGCUGGAUUCCUGACAAGAAUCACUUGAUCUUUUGUGGCUCUUUUGUUAACAAAGCACGUUAGUUUCUGCUUACACAUGGUCCUCAAAAAAUGAAUUCAGGUUAGUGGUCUGGCUAUACAAUCUUCUAACAAUUUAUAGUUCUUUCUUCGUGAAAUAUGCAUAUAUAGAUACGACCCUUUAAUAAAAAUAGAACUUGGGAAACACUAAAAUGGACGAUAUGCCGUAUAUAUAACAUGGUUUAGUGCCUCUUUAUUGUCUAUCGAGUGUGCUUCCAGUUCUAUUUUUUGGUUAAAAGUUCAUAACCGGUUCCAUUUGUUCGUAUUUCCUUUUCGUCUUCUGUCUUGUUAGUAUUUUGUAGGCAAGGUAAGCUUGUCUUCUCACUGAACGUAUACAUUUGUGCAACUGUGGAUGUGCAGGUUUGCAGUAGGAAGCUUAUGUUUUGCGACUUGUGUGGGAAGGGUUUUUAUGGGGUGACAAUUUUGGUUCAUCACAUAUGAGAAAUUUUGUUAUUUUUGGAUUAUCGGACCACAGCAUUCAGAAUCAAAACUGAUACCAGUUCUUAUUUUGGCUACAAUAAAUGGGAUUUUGAUUUUUAAUUUGGAUAAAUUGUAUAUGACCUAAUUAUGAUUUCUUUUUCUUCAUUUCCUUAUCUAAUUUUAGAUGAGUAUUAACUUUAUUAACAUGGGAUAUUUUGUUGUUUUUACAAUAAUGUAGUGAAACCACCGUCAAAGUUCAGAUUUUUUUAUUUUAUUUCAUUUUAUUUUUUAAUAUAAUUUUUUCACCAUGCCUUGUUUGAUUCAAUUCAGGUAACAAAUCUUUUCUCUGGAAAGAUUGAUGUUAUUGUUUGUGUCAUCUUUUCGGUUCAAAGUUUUUUAUAAUUCGGGUUUAAACACUAAAAAAUAAUCUAAAUUUUAAAUCUAAAUAUUUUUAUAAAUACGGGUACAUUAAACUCUCUUCAAAGUGAGCUUAUCAGAAGCUCAUUUUAUACUAGGUCUAAUCGGAUAAAUGGGAUUUUGGUUUGACGUGUGCACCUUCUUCCUCGUCUACGUGUGUUUCCAAGCACCACCAUUGAACAACCAAUCAGCUCUGAAAACCCAUUUCGUCUUCCUCCCAACUCAAUCCGCCUCCGGCACUGCUUCGUCAUAGAGAGUGCCUAUAACUGGCUAUGGGAUUUAGCAGUGAAGGAGUUGAAUAUGUAGACGAAUUAUUUGACGAAAGUCCCAACUAGAUUUUAGUCACCGGACCAUACGCUAAGCGAAUCAAAUCCUUCUUGGCAAGAUCUUGAAUGAGAAGAUAACCCAUUAUUUUGAUGGCAUUUUCUGGGUAUAACGAUUUGAUCUCCGACAAGAGUUUCAUAGGGUUCCAUGGCAUUUUUUCUCUCAAAAGGAAAAGGAGUGAGAAAAUUGGUUUUAGAGUAGGGUUUGAAGUGUUUCAGUAGAGAGCGUAAAGUCUCUCUGUUUUUAUGUCUUUUUUUUUUGUGUCGAAUAUAUAUUAAUUUUUUAUGGGAGUGGGAGGAGUGUCGGAGGCAGAUUGAGCUGGGAGGAAGACGUCGGUGGGGUUCUCAGAGCUUAUUGGUUGUGAACCGCAUGGACAGGAAGAAGAAGGUGCACAUGUCAAAGUAUUUUUUUACCCUCUAUUUAAAGGACAAUUAACGAAAAAAUAACUUUUAGAUUAAGUUUGCCAACGGACUAAACCACGGAGCUAUCUUCCGAUCAACCUAGUACCACGAGCCCCUAAAAUGAUGAAACAUUCAAAAUCCCAAAAGAGUCAAUUAUCACACGUGUGCGCGUGUGGCAAGAUGCUAGUAUCUAUGAAAAGUAAAGCUAUCUGACUGUAUCCUAUUAAAUUAGUUUACUCCAACACCUCAAAUCAAAAUACAAUAAAACUAUAAGGUAUGAUAGGAAUCAUCAAUACUUUGAUGCAAAAUAUCAAAGCCAUUUCAUUAUAUAGCCACAUUUCAUACCUUUUUUUUUUUUAUGUUUGAGUGACUUCUUUCUCAUGUAAUUCCCAUGAGAGAUAUUUUUAAGUGUACAAAAAUAAAACUGGUAUCUAAUUACACUAACACAAAAUUCCCUCAAGUUUGAGAAAUUAAAUGAACGCUUAUUGAAAUUUAAUUCAUGUUCACAUCAUUCCUUAAAGAUGAGUUUACGCUUAUAAUAAAGUACUUAAAAAAAUAAAAAAUCCUUUAUAAAUAAAUAUAAAAUUUACCAAACGUAGGAAAUGUAACAUUUCCAAUUCCCAAACCUAGUUCCCGCAGGUUGCACCUUAGCUAGGACCUCAAACUUAUAAGCCAAUAAUUACAUCACAUUAAUCGCUUAUGUUAUGGCUUAGAGUUUAGGUCGCAAAGUCAAACGCCCAAUAUUGCCCUUCUCAUAUUGAUGUUUUCAUGGAUACCAAUGUGAAUCAGAUCAUAAUAUUAGGUAGAUGUGAUAAAAAAAGUAUAUCGUUCUUAUUCUAGCGCAACAAUAUACUCUACAGAUGUUAGAGGAGAUGAUCGCACAUUGGUCAUAUGAUAAAAUAAUAUUCAGUUAAUAUAUGAGAGGCGUUUCCACCUCUAAUAUCAUUGAAACUUUUUACGAUAAAACCCAACAGCUAGUAACAUGUGGUUAAGUUAGAAUAAUAUUGAUGAUAUUGAUGGUGGAUCAUGCUAAAAAACACUUCCAACUUUUCUCUUAGCUUUUACCAUGCACCUCAAUUGUACGUACAUAUUAUACAUGUAUUUGUCAUUCAUAUAUAUCAAAAAAUACGCGUAGCUAUUUCAUACAAUUUUUUUUUUUGCAUUCUGUAUUUUACUCACUGUGAUAUCAUGCAUUACAAAAGACGAAGAAAAGAAAAGGAAGAAAAACGAGAGAGAAACCUCUUAGAGAACUUGAAUCUUUCUUGCUGCCUAUUGGAUUGGAUUCAUUUGGAAGUUUGGAGUAAUAUCAUCCUUCUCUGUUCUUCUCAUCCUUGCCAAUACUUCUAACAGAAUUACUGAGACAAGAAUUACGCCGAGAAGAAAUCCGUAACCAAUCUUCCAGUCAUUUCCUUCACCUCCAAUCUUGAUCCCCAGAACUAUGUUCACAGCUGCAAAGAAGACUGCAAACCUGCCAAGCCAGUGGUGGUACCAAUUCCAGUACUUUCUAAUGUUCUUGGCAUCCUUGUUGGGUCUUAGAAAAAAUGCCAAUAUCUGAAAAUUACCUCUAAUCAGAAACUCAGAAAUAUCAAAUUACAAUUCCUUUGUGGAACAUGAUAUAUUUUUAACGCGUAAUGAAUUGAUUGUAGUGCUACUUAGAUACACAAACUUGAUACAUUUGUUGACAGAUUCUCUAAAAUAUAUGGGUCUCACGUGGAACAGUAUUUUUUUUGGGUCAAUUCACGUGUAAUGAUAGGACCCGCCUCUGUAGGAGAAUGUGUCAACAUGUGUACUAGUUUUGUGCGUCUGAAUCGUAUUAUUGUAAUAGAUUUAGUGGUGAGGGACAAACCUGAAGGAUGCUAAGUACAAGAACAAAAAUUCCUAUGCCUCUAUGCGUUGGAAAGUUGGCUCCUAUUUUAGUAUAGAGUUGCUGGCCAAGUACCACAGCUGCAAGCCCAAUCACAAAUCCAACAAAUUGAAUAAUUGAAUGGAGAUAGUACCACAAAGGUUCCUUGUGCUUCAAGUAUCUUGGCACAAUUGCCCCAAUAGGAAUUAUUAGACCCCAUCCAAAUAUAGCCAAUAUUCCAUGGUUCUUCUUCAUUUGCCCAAUAUCACUAGGUGCCUCUCGCACAGAUGCGGAGCCUGCAGAGAAAUCGAACAUGACGGUUGUUUUAUCGUUGUGUUUGGUUAGGUGGUGGUGCUUGGGGUAACCGCUUCCGAUAGCCAAGAUGAUUGGCUGACGAGCAAGACGAGCUUGGAAUUUCAUCUGAAAAGCCAAGUAAAUUCUAGGUCCAUGAAGCACAACAGAAGCAGGAAUGCCAGUGAGUGGCAAUUCACCUUUGUCUGGGAUGACUAGUGACACCUUGGAGCCUUGCAAAUAGUAUUGCUUAAUUCUUGCUUCGCCUUUUCUGUUAAUCCAUCCCACUAUUGCACUUGAACCAACCAUCAUUCCAUCUUUGGAAAAUCCUAUUCCUACCCAUCCUGUAGUGUAUACAGCGGAUAAUAUAAUGUUCACGACGUGAUCUUCUGUCUGAGAGUACUGCAACAACCAAAAAAAUGAAAGAAAUAGCUAGCUAAAUUUAAUUAUACGUUUGCAAAUAUAGUUUAGAAACGUAUAAUGAUUUCCGCACAAGUCUUUUCUUCCCGUGCACCUUUGUUUAUUCUAACAUUCGAAUUGAAUAAAUUAAAUAAGAAUUGAAGGACAAAAAUGAACAGGAGUGUGCAGAAAGAGAGCAGGCGUGCAUAAAUUAUUUCUCUAUAGAACCAACUUAACAAUGAAAUCAAGAUUGAGUACAAACUUACUCUCAAAACAAAAGUGUUCCAAAUAGGUCUGCAGACUAGAUCAGAUGAUGAAUUACUAUAUGGUGGUAGCAUAAAACUGCUCAGAUCAUUGUCACAAGGCUCCGAUGCAUCAUUGCCCCCACCAGCGCUAUUAACCCCCGGAACAUAACUGCCAUCAGCAGCCAUAACAUCAAACUUGGCCUCCAAGACAAGGGUCAGAAUACAUAGCCUGAAAGCAAACCUCGAAGCAAAAACCGACCAAGACCCCAAGCUCGCCAUUGGAAAGAUCAAGAACUAGGAAUGCGAUCCAAGGCUAGAACAGGCAGUGACAAUACCAUGGACGAUGUAAGUUGUGAAAGAGAAGGCGCAUUCAGGAGGUUGGUAGGUUUUAGUCUCUUGGGUUUGAAGGAAAAUGGAAAGUGGUUGGUGGUGGUGGGGAUGCUGGUUGGUGUUGGCAGAUGUUUACAGUGGUUUAAUUCUAACCAAAUUUUUAGGACAUUAUCUCUUAGUAAUAACCAUUUCUUCCAAUUCUUGCAAACUAAACAACCCCCACCACCACCCCCACACUCACACACGCAAUAAUAUUUUGUUGGGUUGGACUUCAUUAUAUUGCAAAUAGUAUGUCAUUAUAUUGCAAGUAGCAUGUCAUUAAAUUGCAAAUAGUAUGUAAGUAUAUUGCAUAUAGUAUGUCAAGCCACUAGUAGUGAGGUUGGGAAGGGUGAUGGACGGAGGAGUAUACUAAGUUCAGGACUCUCGGAACCCUCUAAUGUAACAAAAAAAAGUACCAUUUUGUUUACGGUAAAUGGGGGUAAGUGUCUUCGCCCAUGAACGGUAGGUCUGGGGUUCGAGACUUGGGAGCAGCCUCUCCAUAAAUGGGGGUAAGGCUAGCCGACAUUCACCUCUCCCAGACCCUGCGUAAAGCGGGAGCCUUGUGCACUGGGUACAACGACCUUUUUUGUUUACGGUAGAAGUUAUAACAAGCAACGAGAGAGGGCGGAAUAGUGGGUUAAAAUUAGGAUGAUCAAAUAUUCGAUUGCCUCCCAUGUAAUUAAAAAAUACAAUUUUAUUACUUGGAUGUUAGACAAAAACAUAUAUGAGAAUUUGUAAACUAUAUAUGAUGGUUGGAUAUGAAUGAGAUGAAACUUUGAAGUCGACUUCUUGUGUAUUACAAGAUACCAUAAUUAAGGGCCUAUAAUUGCAUUCAAAAGCUUCUCACGCCCUAAACCAAAUAUAAUAGGCACAACUACACCAUAAGUGCAAAACGGGUAAAGAAGUUCACUUGAUGUACAAUGAUUAUUGAUGAGCUUUUAAGCAAUGCAAAGAAUUAGAUGCUUCAUACAAAAAGUAGAGUCAACAACUUGAUCGCUAGAUCUAUUGGGCUGUUUUUUGCUACAUGAUGACAAAUAAUAGUUACUUUUUCGUAGUCAGGUAGCGGCCCUCUAACCGAUUAUAUAUCCUUUGUUAUCUCUUUUAAUACGUGAAAAAGAUAUAGAACCGAGAUGACUAAGAUUCUCCCAUAAAUUUCAGGCAGCUUUCAAAUGCAAAGUUCCUUGCUAGAACCUGCACACCGAGGCAACAAUUGAGGGGGUGCCCCCCAGUAUCGGCCAUGAACGAACACAUCCAAAGUCUCCACCCUGCUCAUUCAUGAUGGGACGCUAUCAAGGACAGGCCUCUAAGGCCCACUGGGGGCAGCUGCCUACAUUGAAGUUUUGUGUAGAGGAAAAACAAUCACGAAACUUACAGAACUUAAAUUUAUCAUAUUUAAGUACUUUAAGUGAUUAGUUGAAAUUUUAAAUAAUAUGUACAAAAUGCUAUUAUUGUGAAAAAAAUGUCUACAAGUUGGCUUAAUGAAAUUUGAGAAGGAAAAGAAAAGCAAUGAAAUUAUAGAAGAAACUCUACUAUCAUGAUUUUUUUUUCCCUCAAGUAUAACUAGAGGUUAAGGUCGCCCCACCUAAAGAAAGUUUUUAACUGCAUCCUUAGAUACAGUGACAUUUUUAACCUUGAUAUCACUGAUCACUGCACAGAUUUGUUUGGAGAGUUAUAAAUUAAAAAGAUAUUCUCAUCAUUCUUCUCCCCUUUGCAAGUUUGAUAGCGAAAGAAAACAUGAAAAGUGAUUUAGCCGUUAGCCAGGCACCCUAAAGAUAUGGUCCUCACCACUCUUCUCAUCAACCUUGACAACCCAUUUACUCUUACCACUCCCCUUACUUCCUCCACGCCAAUAUCCCUUGCCAACCUCAGUGUUCUUCCCAAUCACGGUGACCUCCAUUCCUUUCCCGAUGGAAUUCUUCGUAGACCUCACCGGAGCCCUCUUUUCCAUCACUCCCAAUGCCCUUCCAACCCCUUUCUUUCACCAACCAAGUUAUUAGCCACAACCACUGAUUUUCUAGGGUUAACAUCUAGCAACUUCAGCAGCCUUGUGUAAUCAUCAUUCUUGCAAUCAACCACAGAGAAAUCAAUGUUCUUGUAAUUCGACAACAGCUCAGAAGGGUCACUGGUCUUGAACUCCACCAAGUCUUUAAGGCCUAAGUCUCUGAUUACUUUCUUUGAUUCAUUGAGGACUGGCUCGGGAAGAAUGCAAACCAGUUUUCCUCCUGUGUGUUUUGCAGCAACUGCUAAGGCUAUCGUUGAUGGCGAAACUGUCGAGGUCACCUCCACUAUGAGUUUGGCUUUCAUGCCGGCAGCCAAAGCUGAAACAAAUUCAUUGCUGCCUGGCUCUUGUGUUUUCCAUGAGACACAUUGUCUCCCACGGUCAUUGCACUGCAGAAAUGAAUACGAAUUGGAGUUAGCACAUUGGAAACAUUGUCUUACAUCCUUCUUUAAGCCCUUGAACAACACAAGAAAAAGGUACAAAAUUGAAAAAUGAGGGCAGUAUAUAUGAAAAUUGUUGUUUUAUUUGACUUCGCCACAUGUUGCAUGUCAAACUAUCACCCUAGACAAUUGAUGAAGUAACCCUUUAGCAGUAUGAGAAUUUAACAUGCAAAAUAUAUCGUUUUACUAAAAGAAGUCAAACUAUCAAUGUAGACAAUUGAUGAAGUAACAUUUGAGCAGAGAAUUUAACAUGCAAAAUAUAUCGCUUUACUGAAAGAAAAGAAAAAAUGUCAAACAUCUCACACGAUUUUAAGUCCCAUUUCUGUCAUGAUAUUUAAAGGCAAUAAAACCCUAAGAAACACAAAUGUUUUUUCAUAGUUACGCCCACUUCCGAAAACUAUGAACUAAGAAACCCAAAGGACCAGUUGAAUCAAUAAUUGAUUCCAACUCUUAAACAAAUUGGAGGAAAACACAACAGAGAAAUUUACAAAGAAAGAAAGAAAGAGGGAACAAGAAAAGUACAUACCAGUUUUAGGGUAUCAAAAUAAGCUUUUGUAGCAGAUUCUGCAGACCAUUCCAUCACCCUCAUAGCCCCCAUGAUCUGAUUAUUAUAACUUGGUCCAGGACAAGAAUUAAAUCGUUUAUCGUAGCCCUGGAUUUGUGUGUUCUACGGUUGAUGUAUAUACUCAAGGCCCUUUAUGCAAAGGGAUUCUCAUUUUUUGAAAAAAAUUGGGAUUAGGUGUGGCGCCCACUCCAUAUCGAAUUUCAACAAUCCGAACCGUUUAUUUUGUUAGUCUCGAUUCAUAGAUCAUUCUUGCAAAAAUUCAAUUCAAUCCGAAACCAUUUGCCUAUUUAAUUAUCAAGAUCAAUUUUGUUUUUUUUAUAUAUAUAUAACAAAAUAUUCGUUUAUUUCUUUGAAUCCAAUUAUAUGUCUUAAAUAUUUCCGAUUUGGCUAAUAUGUUGCAAGGAUGAUCUAUAAAGUCUACUUGAAAAAUAGACGGUUCGGAUCGUUAAAGUUCGAUGUAGUAUGGAACCCACAACUAAUUCCCAUUUUUAUAUAAAAAAAUAAAGAUCCCUUCCCUUAAAGACUUUAUGUAUAUACUUGUCUUUUCUUUUGUUUGUUUGGUUUUUGUUUUGUUGGUGACGAUAUGCGGGAAAUCAUUUGCCUAUAAUUGGGAAACUCAUGGUUUGAUUCUUAUUUGGGUACACACUAAAAACUUCUUGUGAACUUACUCGGAUCAAUAUGUUUAAUUAUUGUGUAGAAACCUUCCAACGGUGGAGGUAAUGAAGUAGAGCAAAGUCUCAUUUUCAUUUUUUGUAUUAAUCAACAAUGUCGUUUAUGAGAUUUGAUUCACGACCUUUACAAAUCACAUUAGUAUGGGCUUCUUUUUUUUUAAAAAAAAAAAAAUGAAUGAGUUAUAUAAUAUCAUUGAAAUGAAACAAUUACAAAAUAACUUGUAAAUGUUGUGAACUAAAUUACAUAUGAAAUUGGGUGUGAGAGAGAGGGGACGAUAGGAAGAGAGAAAGGCUCAGGUGUAUAAGAAUUUUAUAUUCACCUCCAAACCUUGUAUCCUUAUUUAUAUUAAUCAUGAUGGGCUUACUUACCUUACAUGAAAUACAAAGCGUAUGAGGAUUUGAUCUCCAAAUCCUAUUGGGAUUCUACUUUAAGUUUACAUAAUCACAUUCUUAAUUAAUAAUAUUAUUUACAACACCCUUCCUUGAGUGUGUACAACUUAAGAAGUAGUUGCAUUAAGUUUUCAUGAAUAACAUGGGUACGACCAACCCAAAGUAGGUGCCUUGUCAAAACCUCAUCUGGAUAGCAAAAACCUAGUAGAAAAAAUGCUCAUGUUUGUAGGGGAAAAAGUGCAAUAAGGUCAUGUGAAUAUGCUUUAGGAACUCCCCCUAAGUUUAAUAAAACUCCCCAAGAGAGUACCAGUGAUGCAAAUCUAAAAGCUUAUGCAAUCCAACUCCUUGAACAAGUUUAUGAAAAGUAGACUUUGACAGCGACUUCAUGAAUAAGUCAACAAGGUUGUCCUGGGAUCAUAUUUUCUUGACUUCGAUCUUCUGAUGCUCUCGUUGUUAAUGAGUGAAGAAAAACUUCAAGGUAAUAUGCUUGAUAUUGUCGCCUUUGAUGUGUCCUUUCUUUAACUUGUCGAUACAUGCAACGUUGUCUUCAUGAAUUGUUGUAGGAACAUCAACGAUGGAAGAAAAACCACAUGAGGUUCUUAGGUGAUUAAUCACACCCCUCAACCAGAAGCAUUCAUGCGGUGCUUCAUGUAGGGUGGGAACCUCAACGUGAUUUGAAAACGUAGCAACCAACUAUUGUUUGGUUGAUCUCUAAGAUACUGCAGUAUAUCCAAUGCUACAGACAUAACUCGUUUGAGGAUGAGCCUUGUGCGGGUCGGAUAAAUAACCAACGUUAAUAUAUCCAACAAGGCGGAUAUUAUUCCGAGGACCAAGAGGGUUGGAUCCGCUCGGUGAUGUGUAUGGACAGAAUAAGUUUAUAUCCAUUGUACCCUUAGGGUGCGUUUGUUGCACGAGACUAUUUUGGACUGGAUUGGCUUGGCUUGGACUAAGCAGGAUAAAAACAGUGAAGUGUUUGGUGCAGUACCGGACUAAAUCACGGACUAAAUUAUUAUUGGAAUUCAAAUAUUUUUUUUUGUCAAUUUUUAAUUUAUCUUGUUGAUAUUUUAUUAUCAUCAUUCUAUGCUUUUUUAUUUGGCUCACUCUCUCUCCCGUCUCUCUGCCCUUCUUUUCUUUUCAUCCCCGUCUACUUCGCACCGCCCAGAACUUUUCUUCUUCUUUUCAUUUCAUUUCCUAUCAACAAUUUAGGAAAUUAUGAAUAUGUACUUCAACCCAUAAUCCAAAUAUUGUACCCAAUUUCUCCAAUAUCAGUUACAAUGAAAAAUUCAAAUCAAACCCAGAAAAAUUCCAAAUUGUUUUUUUUUUCCAUUUGUGGAGACUUCGUCUGAUUAUGCAGAUGAUUUGUCAGAAUUUUCAGAUGCUUCGUCGGAUUGCCGGUUGUACAAAGGCCUCCGCUGAAAUUGUGUACAGGACACUAUUAUUGGGAUUGUUGAUAUUGUUUUGAGAUUUAGGUGUUGCAUUUGGGUUUCUGCAUCUAGGCAUGGUUGGUGGAAGAGGUCAAGGAGGAAGGAGCCCAAUUGGAGGGCGCGACCGAUGAGCUUGGUCUGAGCGGAGGUGAAUCAGACGAUGGAGCUCGUGAGUUCUCUGAUUUGAAAUUCGAAUCGAGGUCUUUGUUCAUGAUUCAGGGUUGGGGACGAGGAGAGGGAGAGAACGCGAGCAGAGAGGAGAGUAGAGGACGCGAGCAGAGAGCGAUCGAAGGGAUUAGCUAGUCCCAUGGUUCACGACGUCUCUCGCUAAGACCGUCUAGCAUGGUCUUUAGUGGAGGCGAGUCCGGCUUACUCCCACUAAAGCUAGUCCCGUGAAGUAACAAACAUGGGACUGGACUAACUAUUAAUCUAGUCCAGUCCAAUGAGGGCUAGUGAAGGGAAACAAACACCCCCUUAAGGUAACGCAUGAUGUCAUUAACACCUAUCCAGUGUUGUGUGUAGGCGCAUUAUUAUAUCUUGCCAAAAGAUUCAUAGCGAAUGAGAUUUCUAGUCUAGUGCAUUAAGCCAAGUACAAUAAACCUUCGAUUGCACUUAAGUAUGAAACUUUAGGUUCCAAGACCCUUUCAUCCUCAUUUUUAGGACGAAACCAUUCUCAUUUUGCAUCUAGAGUCACAAGUCCUUUUUGGUGUAGUUCAAUUGGUGGACUUGAAUACCAUGUGAACAAUGCUCUAUCUCCAGACCAAUACGGCGUUGAGUUUUCCCAAGAUCUUUCAUCUCAAAUUCCCAUUUUAGGCGCGGAACAGGUUUCUCCCUUGAGCAGUGUUGGAGUUGAAGCAGGUUAAGGUUCCAUCAUAAAAUCAAUUGACAAUAUGAAAAGGAGCCCUUAUAAGCACAUGCAAGAGAUUCAUACUCUCAAUACACUUGCUCACAUGUGGUGAAUUUUUAAGCAUAACACAUGAACAACACAAAUUAAGUGGCAUGGAGAAACGUGUAAACCAUGCAAGAAGGUAAAGUUCCACCAUAACUAAUUGACAAUUUGGAGAGUAACACAACUUCUUAUAAACAAAAUAUUUAUACUCUCGACAGAGCCUCUCGAGCAAUGCUCGAAUUCCUCUUGAGACCCCUCCUAUAUUGCGUGAACUCCCCUUCAAACCCCUUCAUGCAAUUGAAUCUAAAAGUAGAAAAAAGAAACAGUAAAAGCAUUUUACAUGAGUGUUGAUAUUCGCAUUUCAAAAAUUCACGAUGCUUCAUGAAACUCCCUAAGUGUACCUUUAAUUCUCUUUUUUUCACUCCUCAUGGUAAUUAAUGAAAAAAGAAUUAGUAACUAAUCAUGAAUAAAAAGAAUUACUACCAUCCUAAUUACUAAAUUCUAACUCCUAACUCCUAACAAAGAAAUUAUUCACCUCUCCUCUUUCUCUUUCUUCCUACUUAGACCAAGCAACUGCUUCAAUCUCAAACUGGGCACUUCUGUACAACUCUAGCCUCUUUGCAAGCAAUGUACGCCUCUGCAUUACCGCCGGAUCCUCGUCUAGCAACUUAGCCAACUGUCUUGUCUGCAACGAAAAUUAAAUGGUUUCGAAAAUCUUAUUAGUAUAAUUCUAAUUCAACUGAGCUUGGUUUCUUUGUUCUUGUCAAAUCUUUUCGUAAAUUUCACUCUUGUAGGGAACAAUCCUCACCUCCUUUGCACCCAACUCUGCGAAGAAAUGAUCGAGCAAGCAGCGUUUGGCCUCUCGUACUUGACAGUAGAUGAUGGACUUUGGAAUAGCAAUCCUUAAACUCGAACAAACCAUGUUGACAUAGCUUAACACAUUGUGUCCUGUUUGUUUCAAACACAAAAAAACCGUGAUCAUCAAUUCAACCACAUAACCUGAUAAAUCUAAUGACGAAGUGAUGGUAGAAUGAAAUGGUUGUCAAACGGGCCAUGAAUAUGUAUCAUUUUAAAAUUGUGUCUCCUAGUUCUUGUUAAGUGAUUCAAAUCUUGGAUAUGAUUAUAGAGGUAUUUAGAGUUAGAGAGCAACUCACCAACCCGCAGGAGGUAUGCAUCAUUGUAUCUAUCGAAGAGUGAGUGUGUCGGAUUUCCACCCUUGUCAAUAUCUUGAGGAAGCUUGCGGAAAAAGUCAACUGUUAGGUAACCACAUUCCAUAUCUACUAGCUGUAGAGUUGCUCUCUUGCUUUCUUCUUUCAUCCUUUCCAGCGACUCAAAUGCUGCAUUCGCAACUUCUACUCUUAAAGUGGGAUACUGCUUUAGUUCCUACAUAACAAAGAAGAACCAUAAAUUAAGAGAAAAGAUUAGUCAUGUUUAGGGACAAAUAAGGAAUGAUAAGCAAUGUUGACAAAAUGUCCUAGAUUCCUAAUUUACAGACAGAAUUCAUGAAUGCAAGGUAAUAAACUUACCGUAGUCUCGUUGAUAGAUUUUUGAGCCAGAUCCUUCAAUAUGCCAUGAACCUGAAAUCAUGAAGAAAGACAAUUAAGCAAAAUGAUUCGAAGCACUGACACAUUAUACAGGUUUGUAAUGGAAAAAAUGAUGCUAGCACCAGCACUGGAAUUAACAGUUGGAGAAUUAAAACAAACGAAAGAUAGUUAUUGAUUUUCAAGGAUUGUUUAUAUCUUUCAUGAAUGCAUUACAAUUGUUUAGCCGUAUAUAAAGAGAUGAACUCUCCUUGAGUUAUGCCACAACCGGUGGACUCCUAAGAAAAGAGAACAAAUGAUUAGAGACACACUUGAGUGGUUGCUUUACCCCUAACCCUACACACUUGAGUAGAUGCUUUAACCCUACUUAAAGAGAACAAAUGAUUAACCACUUAGGAGACACACUUGAGUGGUUGCUUUACCCCUAACCCUACACACUUGAGUAGAUGCUUUAACCCUACUUCCAAUACUCCCCCUCAAGCUGGAUCCAGAAGAUUUAUGGAUCCAAGCUUGGAAAAAAGUUGUUGAAACUAGUGAGAGGCCAAGGGUUUGGUGAAAAUGUCGGCCAAUUGAUCACAUCUUCUGGUAUAAUGGGUCUGAAUCACUUUUGACUGGACUUGUUCCCGAACAUAAUGACAGUCAACUUCAAUAUGUUUCGUCCUCUCGUGAAACACUGGGUUUGAUGUUAUAUGCAUUGCUGCCUGAUUGUCACAAAAUAAAGACAUGGGGAGAGUUGUAAACACUCAUAAGUCGCUCAAAAGACCCUUUAGCCAUAUCAGCUCACACGCAGUGGAGGCCAUUGCACGAUACUCGGCUUCAGCACUUGAGCGUGCGAUGACAUUUUGUUUUUUGCUCUUCCAUGUGACCAAAUUUCCACCAACAAAUGUACAGUAACCUAUUGUGGACUUACGAUCAAUUGCGUUUCCCGCCCAAUCAACGUCGCAAUAUCCCAUGAGUUGUGUGUUUUCAUUCUUCUUCAUGAUAAUGCCACGACCCACAUACCCUUUUAAGUAGCGUAAUAUCCGCUUAACAAGGUUCAAAUGCUCAAUUGUGGGAGAGUGCAUGAAUUGGCUUACAACACUUACGGAAUAUGUGAUGUCAGGUCUGGUGAUUGUUAGGUAGAUCAGCUUACCAACAAGCCUCUGAUAAUGGCGUAUAUUAGUGAGUGGCGUGCCCUCCAAGCUAGGUUUGAGCUUGCUAUCCAGAGAAGUAAUUGCAGGUUUGGCAUCUCUCAUGUUAACUUCCUUGAGCAAAUCCAGGAUAUACUUUCUUUGAUUUAGAAAUAGUCCCUUGUGAGAAGUUGUCAUCUCUAUGCCAAGGAAAUACUUCAAUACCCCAAGGUCUUUAAUUGCAAACCUUUGUCUGAGUGACUGUUUGAGUUUGAAGAUCUCUUCAGCAUUAUCUCAUGCAAUUAUUAAGUCAUCGACAUAGAUCAACACAACCAAUUUGCCCACAACUCCAAUGCGAACAAAUAAUGAGGAAUCGACAUUGCUUCUUUUGAAACCAACACUUGUGAGAACUGAGCUUAGCUUGCCAUACCAAGCUCGGGGGGAUUGUUUCAAUCCAUAAAUUGAUUUAUGCAAUUUGCACACUAAAUCAUGCUCAUUGCUUUGAGGGUGCCCUGGUGGCAAUUUCAUAUAGACUUCUUCUUCGAGAUCACCAUGUAAGAAUGCAUUCUUCACGUCCAUUUGGUACAUGGAUCAUCCCUUAUUGACAGCCACAGACAAUAGAACCCUAAUUAAGUUCAUUUUCGCAACAGGGCAAACGUUUCUUUGUAAUCUACAUCGAAAGUUUGAGUGAAUCCCCUAGCCACUAACCUUGCUUUAUGUCUCUCAAUUGAGCCAUCUGAAUUGAAUUUGAUCUUAUAAAUCCAUUUAAAACCCACAACCCUUUUUCCUUUUGGAAGUGUGGUUAUACUCCACGUUUUGUGUUGAUCUAGAGCUUUAAGUUUUUCUUGCAUUGCUUCUUUCCACACUUCUUUGUUGUUAGCCUCAUGGAAAUUCUGAGGCUCACUACAACUUGCAAUGUUACUUAGGAAUGCAGCAUGGGAGUGAGUCACCUUUUGGUAGGACACAUAAUUGGAGAUUGGAUGUUUGGGUUUGUAGGUGACGAAGUCUUGAAACCUUAGGGGAGGUUGUCUUGCACGCAUUGGAUUGCAUCGUGGGGCUGUUGUGUGAUUUGUCUCACACUCGUUCACAUCUUGAGCCACACUGUGAGGAUCAUCUUGAUUGUCACCAUCUUCAUGUGUUGUACCAUCAGAGUGAGGGCCUUCAUUGCCACUUUCAGUGAGGGAUGCCUCAGUGUUGACAUGGCUAAGAACUCUAUUUGUUGAAGCAUCAAGGUCGAUUCUUGGUAGAGGAAACACCUCCAACAUACACUCUCCUUGACUUGUUGUUUCAAGUGACUUGCUGUAAAAAGGGUCAGUCUCAUGGAAUCGAACAUCUUUAGACACAAUCAAUUUCCUCAAUUGGGUAUUAUAACACUUAUAUCCCUUUUAUGUAGAAGAAUAGCCAAGGAAAAUGCAUUUAACAGCUCGAGGGUUCAAUUUACCUUGAUGAUGAGGUUGAAUAUGUACAAAGCAAAUACAGCCAAAGACUCUAAGGUGUGAAAGAUCAAUUUUCCUACCUUUCAUGACCUCAAGGGGUGAUUUAAACUCCAAGACUCUGCUAGGUAACCUAUUUAUGAUAUAGGUAGCUGCCAUGACUCCUUGGGACCAAAAUUUCUUUGGUACAUUCAUUUGUAGCAUUAGUGCUCUAGUUUUUUCAAGUAAGUCACAAUUUUUCCUUUCGGCUAUGCCAUUUUGUUGAGGUGUGCCAACACAACUUGUUUGAUGCAUGAUGCCAUAAGUGCUCAAAUAUUGUGUCAUGAUAUGAGAUGUGUAUUCGGUGCCAUUGUCAGACCUUAAAGUUUGAAUUUGAGAAGUGAAAAGGUUUUUAAGAAGAUUAUGAAAAUCCUUAAAAGCUUCCAUAACUUCAUUCUUAGACUUUAAGAGGUACAACCAUGUGGCUCUAGAGAAAUCAUCAACAAAUAUCACAAAAUACUUAUAACCAUCAAAAGAUUCUAAAGUUGGUCCCCAUACAUCCGAAUGGACAAGUUCAAAACACUUACUAGCCUUGGAUAAGGAAGAGUUAAAAGGUAAUCUAGUGGACUUAGACAAGUGACAUGUUUCACAUGAAAUUACAUCCUUCCCUAAGUUUGGAAAUAAAGUUGACAAAAUGGGUGGAGAAGGAUGAGCUAAACGUUGAUGCCACAAUUGGUUAUCUUGGAUAGAGUAGGACUUGGCUUGAAACCCUAUGGGAUUACUCUUCGAUAUGUAAUAGAGACCAUCUAGAUAAAACCCUUCACCAAUCGUCUUCUUGGUUGCACAUUCCUGAAAAACAACAUUGUGAUGGGAGAAUAUGCAAUUUAAGGUAUUUGUGAUUUUUCCCACAGAUAGGAGUUAAAAUGGAAAGGAAGGAACAUAUAAGGCCACCGACUCAAUUUCAUCAGAUAUUAAGUUGAUUUUUCCCUUUCCUAAAACCUUUUCAUUUUCACCAUUUGCAAUUGAAACUUAGGAAGGAUUUAAUAAUUUUCAAACGUAUGAAACUUAGACACAUGGUUGGUCAUAUGGUCUGUGGCACCCGAAUCUACAACCCAAAAAUCAUGCAACAUAUUUAUAUUAAGAGCAGUUUUGAAAGCUUUCAUGAUACCUUGCAUGUCUUCUUGAGGUACGUGUUUCGUGUCAGCCAAGAAACCAGCAAACUUGCCUAGCAAAGCUGUUGGGUUUCCGUCUUCAAUGUUGUCUAUUCGGUCACUUCCAGUCUCUCAUUUCUUUCUUUGAAGAUACAAUGCAAACUCAUUCAUGAGUGCAACUGGAUUAGCUGUGAAGUUCUUGACUAUGUCAGACACAUUUGAAGAGGAGGCAGACACAUGAUUUGCUCGAUGUACAGUACGGUUCACUCUCUGUGAAACCUUGUUGUCCUUCAUGAAAUCAGGCUUUAAUUCUGGAUGUAAAAUCCAACAUGUCUCCUUAACAUGGCCCGUAUAGUUGCAGUGUUGGCACUUCAAGUUUGGAUGCUUCACUUUGUACUUCUUCUCGUUGAUUAGGUAGGCCCUUGCUUCAGAUACAUUGGCCUUUGUACCAAUGUUCAUGACCUUCCUCCUUACUUUCUCACGUUGAAUUGUUGCACAAAUACUGGUGAAGGAAGGAAGUUAAGUGUUCAUGAGUAUGUGGCUUCGUAGGUCUUCAUAUUCUGAGUCGAGACUGGACAGAAGUUGAAAUAUCUUGUCUUCUUCUGCUCUCUUCCGUAGCAAAGCAGCAUCAGUGGUAUGAGGGCGAUAUAUUUCCAACUCAUUCCACAUGCUUUUCAUGCUACCUAAAAGUUAUUCAAAGGGUUUACCUUCUUGUUGCAGGUUGGAGAUGUCCUUUUUUAAUUGGAAAACCCGUGCAGCAUUGUUCUGACUGCCAUACAUUUCCUUGACAGUCUCCCAUAGCUGGAGUGAAAAUUCAGAGUAACUGAAUAUUUCAGCUAGGUUACAUUCCAUGGAAUUUAGGAGCCAUGACAUAACUAGCUGAUCAUUGCUAAGCCAGCAUUCAUAAGCUGGUGAGGAAGCAUCAGGAACUUCGAUGUUUCCAUUUAUGAAUCCUAACUUGGUCCUUCCACCUAGGGCAAGUGAUACAGCCCUCGACCAAGGCAAAUAAUUAAACUCAUUCAACAAGACUAAGCUUAAUCUUUGAUUUGGGUUGAUAUCCACCUCAGGCAUAUUCACGAAGGAAAAAACCAGUGACCUUUCAGCAUCCGACCCAAGAGGAUUGUCUUUAGCCAUUUUUAAGGUUGAACCCGUUCAGAUGGUAGUAAAGCAGAAGCAGGUUAUUUUUCCUGCUCUGAUACCAUAUUGAUUUUCAAGGAUUAUUUAUAUCUUUCAUGAAUGCAUUACAAUUGUUUAGCCGUAUAUAAGGAGAUGAACUCUCCUUGAGUUAUGCCACAACCGGUGGACUCCUAAGAAAAGAGAACAAAUGAUUAGAGACACACUUGAGUGGUUGCUUUACCCCUAACCCAACACACUUGAGUAGAUGCUUUAACCCUACUUAAAGAGAACAAAUGAUUAACCACUUAGGAGACACACUUGAGUGGUUGCUUUACCCCUAACCCUACACACUUGAGUAGAUGCUUUAACCCUACUUCCAAUAAUAGUGCCGAAUGCAAAUAUAAAAUUCAACAUUUCAUAUUAUUAACACAUUCGUGCGCCCAUCACAUGCUGCAAAGGAAGCAUUUUUGCCUCAGGUAUGAAAGUCUUUUGGCCACAUGGAAACUAAGACAAUAGCUUACUUGUGCAGUAUCAGUUUUAUAUGGAGAAAAACAUUCCCAUGGUUUAAUUGCCUAAGGAGUUACAUGCGAAGAUAUGUACACAUACCGCAUCAACAGCCAUCUCUGCAGGACCUCUGAUGCAAAUCAAGGAAGAUUCAAUAAGGCGACGGUAACCUUGUUCAGGAGCAAUUAGAUGAGGCUGGUAUCCAUCUGCUUCAGUAAUUAGCUUUCGGAUGUUAUCCAUAGAAAGAUACCUGUCAAACUGCAACCGUUUCAAAGCAGCUGGAAAUUGAUUGUCAAACACUCCAUAAACUUUCUCACCACCAGAGCGCCUGGAGAAAUUGAAAAUUAUCAUAAAUCCCAAGGUUGAAUAAGGAAACCAGAAUGAGAUGAAAACAAACUUUCCAAUUAACUUCAAAAAAGACAAUGAUAGCACAAUACAUACACGCCAUCCAGAUGUUCUUUAAAUAUCUGAUCGAAAGUACGAGAGAUUUCCAUGAUCACAUAUAAUUUUCCCUGCUUGUUAAAAAACGAUCGAACUGACAUUAGCAAUGCUUAUUGUAAUACAUACAAUACAACAAUAUAGACCACCCAAGAAAACUUUGCUAGGUAUACAUUAUUUAUUAUGGAAAAAAGGAAAGGAUAUGACAAAGAACUAUUUAUAUGUAUAUCCUUACUCCAGCAUCAGCAGCAAUAGGCUUCCCGAGUCGGCUUAGUUCUGCCUCUAGUUCACCAAUAGUUUUGCUGACAAGAGACUGAAGGCCUGGAAUUCGAGACUUGAUGACAACUUCUAGAUGCUGAAAGUUUGAUUACGUUAAGUGAUAGGUAAGAAGUUCAUAAGUAAAAAAAAAAAAAAAACACUGACCACCAUUGCAAAUGUAUCAUUAAAAGGAAGCAGACUGGAUCUCUUAAGUAUGCUUCUCUAACUUUAUAAUCUAUAAGAGCAAAUAAUUGUGUCUGAAAGUGCAACGACAACUGAACAUAUAAAAUGCAAUUAGGAUAACAAACCUGCAUACCUUAGAAAGCACCCUGCCUAAAUGCUCAGAGCCCAUCCUGUUUGCAAGAUGCCUGUACUCUGGGCUACCAGAAAAAUAUUCACGCUCUCGACGCCUAGCAGCAAUCAUAUCAACACUCUUGUUUAUAUCAGCUUGGGAGCGAUUGACAAUGCCAAUCCAGGGGAACUGUAGCUUAUAUGAUCUUCCUUCCAAAAUCUGAAAAGUAAAAGUAAAAUAAAACCCUAGAAACUGGAAACUCUCAUGUAGGCAGCCAUAAUGAUACUGUAAUGUGACUUUUGAGUACAAAACAGAUCGUGAAAACAUGUGUGCAGCAUUGAUGAUCUCAGAGCACCACCCUUACAAUUUAAUCAUAACAUUAGGUUUCACAGACCUAAAACAAGGGGUCCUAAAACAAGACAAUAAAAUGUCACCAAGCAGGUAAACUGCUUUGAUUCCACACUUAAAAGCGAACACGUUUGCUCUCUUCUUUUUUAUCUUCCUUUUUCCUCUUUUGGCUAUGAAUUCAGAAGUGACUUACAUCAACUGCAUUUGUACCCUGGUCCAUAAGAUCAAUCUUCGUCAGAACUCCAAAUGUCCUCUCCCCUGAGAAAUGGAACCAAAUUUAAAAUCAAUGUGUGUAAAUGGAAAAUACUCCUAAUUAGUGAAAUCUGCCACUUUUGAAUUGACAUAUGUUUUGGUCAUCCGAAGACGAGAGCAUUUCUCAAAACCAGAGGAAACAAAACUUAAACAUAUGAAAUCUUGAUAUCCUCCUUUCACCUCACUGCUACAAAUUAAAACUCAUCUUCUUAUCUUUUUCGUUCGUUUUCACAUCUUCACCCUUCCUGUUUACAACUUGUCAAAUUUGUUCACCUGCUCAAUCUUAUUACUCUUUUUUUUUUUUUAAUUUUUGGAAUUAAGUAGGCUUAUUAAUCAUCCCCACCAUGUAGCAAUCUUACCUUUAGGAUCGACUUCACGAGAGAUCUUAAUUGCAUCAGAAGUAGCAAGAUCUUGGUUGGCAGGGGAAAUAGCCAAAAUAAUACAGUUGGGCUGGCAAGAAAAGGCAUAUUAUUCCAAUAAAUUAAGCAUAUUUCAUGAGAUGAAACAUCUCAUAGAAACACAAAACACAAGUCUCAUAAUCUAAUAGCUCAUAAAUGUUCUUAACAACACAGUAAGAAGAUUACUUUCUCAAUGAAGGACCUAACCAUAUCCUCAAUGUCCUUCACUGUGCUCUCUGCUUGACCAUCUGCAAGACCACAAAAAUCGACACAAUGUCAACUUACAUAAGGUGCCAACUUCCAAGGGAAUUUAUCCGACCCUACUUGAAAAUUCUUAAAGGAGUUUAACUCACCAACAGCGACUUUCGUGAGCCCAGGAAGAUCGAUCAAUGUCAAGUUCACAACUGCCAAGAUCAAACAAAUAAUAAAGAUAAAUAGAACAGAUUUUAUGAGCUCCAGAGUAAAAAUUUAGUGAAAGAGAACUAAAACGACUAGAAAAAGCUUUGUGAGCUCCAGAGUAAGUAACCUCUCUUUCUUUCGUUUCUUUCUUAACAUUUAUCUUUAAAUUUAUUAUGAGCGAUCAAACCGAUCAGCUACAUUCUGAUUUUUGUGAAUGUAAAAUCCAACAAUUCAAAGUUUUCGACAAUUCUAUCUCACCGUUAGGGGAGAAGAUACUAAGAUGGAUGGGAACGGUAGAAAUUGCCUUCGAGCGGCCGGUCUCUCUGUCGGUUUCAUCAGAUAUCUCCUGUCUCACAGCAGCUACACAUACACAAAGAAACAAGAUCAACGUUUGCAAUGCAGGUCAAGAAACCGAAACAAUUUGCAGGAACAACGAAGAAGAAGAAGGAAAUUACCAAAAUCGGUGAACCGCUUCCUGGGGAGGUGCAUAAACUCAGCGUAUUCUCUUCCUUCGUCGAUCUUAUGCAGCUGCAAAACCAGAGGACGCCGCGUAACAAUUCCUGCACGCAACGUGUUCGAAUCAAAACCCGAACCCGAAAACCAACGCGUUCACGUAAGAAUCCAAAAAAGACGCGGUUUCAUGCAUUACCUGAACCGCGAGGAAGAAAGUCCUUGCCGACGACGCUCUCCAACACGGAAGACUUGCCGGAGCUCUGUCGAAGCAAGAAAGGAAACGAGAAACGAGAAACUCGAUGAGAUUUAAUUCAAGAAAGCGUGAAGUUUGAGAGGGAGAUAUUAGAAAUGAGAGACCUGGCCGCCAACGACGGCGAUGGCGGGCAAGGAGUCCCAGAGAGUGGGCAUGGCGCCCUCCUCGCCGUGGUCGCCGAGGGCUGUGCAAGCCCGCUGUAUUUUGUUCACCAGCGAUAUCAAACUCUCCAUCGGACGGACGUUUCGGAUCGCUGAGUCGAGUCGUUUCGAGGAUCGGUCGGAGGUGGCGAGCGUAGAGAGAGAGAAAUAACAGAAUUUUGGAGGGUAGGAAACGACGGGAAAUGGAAUACCGGGUCGUUGGUGCGAAAAUUUCUGAUGCGUCCAAAGUUUGAAAAUUGGGCAAGUUUUAGAUUAAAAGCCCAAAGAGAUGCGUGGACCGAUUCUACCGGAUCUAAACCUUUUUAUGGGCUUUAAACGAAUUCAUUUUUUAAGCCCAACUCCUAACCAUAUCAUAAACCGCCUGGCAAAAUUUGGUUUUCCCAUAUUCAAUGUCCUAUUCAAAUUUUACAGUCUAGCGAUAUUUCUUUUUUAUUUGUACAUGAUAGGUUUUAUGAGUUUAGUUUCAAUUUUAUUUGUGAUCUCUUCCCUUAGUGUAAAUAUAUUGUAGUAUAAAUAUAUUAUAAUGUCGAGUGUAUAAGUGCUUGUUGGAACCAAAUUUGCGCAUUGUCGUAGACAGAGAAGCUAGGCAAAUCCAACUACCUGAAAAAGAACAAACAACCACAAUUAACCUAAGGUACCAAUGGGGUACUAGUCAAAGGCUCCCUAGGAUUAGAUAUUGUGUUCUUGCAAGAGUAUGAUUACUUGUAGUGCACUUCAAUCCAUAAAUUGUACAAAUCUCGAAGAAUAUAGGAAACCCAUAUGACCCCUAAUCGAAUCAGAUUUUCAUGUCUUGUGAAACAAGAAUAGGCAAUCUUAGCGAAGUAGGACUUCGCCUACCUUUACGAAGUAUAGCAAGAUAUGGUGGCAUCGUUGGACUGUUUGAGCAGCUCAAUCCGAUUGGAACUAUAAGGUGUGUUGAUGCACAAAACCGGGGUGGUCUUGGAACAACGUAAAUCCGACCGUGAAUCUGCACAAACGCUCAAGAACACGAAGAACACAAAGAACACAAGGAUUUUAUCGUGGUUCACCCCAAUGUUUGGGCUACGUCCACACUGUAGUUGAUUCUGUUUCUCUGUAAGUGUAUGGAUACAAGUGUUUGGGGGAAGUCCCUAGAGAAAGAAGAGAAGGGAGAGGAGAGCCUCGGUGGUGUGAGGUCUCUCCUGAAUGUAAUGAGAGCUUCUCUUAGCCUUCUUAGGCUUGGCUCUUUUGCCCUCUUAGAAUGAGGGGAGGAGUCCCCUUUUAUAGAAUAAGGGGCUCCUCCUCUUUUACAAAGUAUGGACUUUAGUGUGAGGCCCAAAUACAAGGCCCAAGGCCCAAAUAUACGAGGCCCUAAAUAUGGUAUAAACAAGGUGCAUGACCAAUCCCAAUCUGUCUUACUUCGGCCCUAAAAAAUCAUGGUCCCACAUUGCUCUCUAUCACUAAAGCCACAUGUUCUAAGCUUGAACCCGACUUUAGUUGAUUAAAUAAGAACUCCACUUCUUUAUUAAGAAAGGAUAACACAUUUUCUUGUCCAUCCACAUGUGAUUAACGUAUUGUUAUUAUAGAAAUGUCAUAAUUAUAACCAUUUAUGUUUAAUUCUCUGCAAGAAAAAUCAAUCAAGUUUGAGAUUGUUUAAUUAUUUACAUAUAUUAAAUAAUUGAAUGUUUAAUUAUUUACAUAUAUUAAAUAAUUGAAUGGUUCAUCCUCAAAAUUUACUAGUUGCAAAAACUGUGAUUUAUACAAAAGACUAGUAAUUUCCAGUUUGAUUAAGUUUCGUUUGCAAAAGCAAUCCUUUAAUAAUAAUAAUAGAAAAACAAUCUUAAUUCGGCCAUUUUUAAUGCAGUGCCAAAUAAGUUAAUAACCCAAAAUGUCCUCUUUUUAUCCUAAACUCAUCCUAACCAGGAAUCUCCAAUAAAAUUCCAAUGUCAAUAUACUUAACGGGCUUGCUAAAUGUAGCCUCCUUUGUAGGUACGGGCCAACGUUGUGCUUGGGCUCCACCUUGUGCAAACUGGUUGAGCUGAUGCGCUGACUCUACUUUUGUGUGACGUAGUACAUCAAAUAUCAAAUACAAAAUGGUAUAAUACAAAUGAUUAAAAAAUUUGUUUAAGCAUCUAAUUACUUGGAUUAUGAUUCUUAAUGUACCAAUUGUAUUCCUGACAUACUGACAAAAUGGCCUUAGAAUUGAGUGAACAAAAGUAUUGUGCAAGUUCAAAUUCUGGUCCCAUUACCCGUUAGUGAGAGUGGACAGGACGUAAGUGCGGGAACUUCCGUGUAUCAAUUUCCAAAAAAGUCCAAAAUAAAAAACUAAGAGAAAAAAGGUAAUCAAGACUCUCUCUAGCAUAUUCCACCUCGUGCAAACUGAUUGGGUUGGUGUGCUAGCUCUAUUUUAAUAUGACGUAGUACAUUAAAUAUCAUAUGCAAAAUGUUAUAAUACAAUUGAUUAAAAAAUUUGUUUAAACAUCUAAUUACUUGGAUUAAGAUUUCUAAUGUACCGAUUGUAUUCCCGACGUAUUGACAAAAUGGCUUUAGAAUUGAGUGAACAACAGUAUUGUGCAAGUUCAAAUUCUGGUCCCAUUACCCGUUAGUGAGAGUGGACAGGACGUAAGUGCGAGAACAUUCAUGUAUCAAUUUCCCAAAAAGUCCAAAAUCAUAAACUGAGAGAAAAAAGGUCCUCAGACUCUCUAGCAUAUUCCUUCCUCAUUUGGAUGUCCAACGUAAAAUCAACCCAUACGCCUUCUUCUCCGCCACAAAUUCUCGUCCCAUAUAAAUUCACCAUUCCUUCGCUACUCCCAGACUCUGCUUCCACCAGGACCGCCACCUUCUCACACCUUCUCACAUCCUCUCUCUCUCUCUCUAUGAAAUGCUGACUGAAACCCAAAUCCUCUCAUGGACUCAGUUGUAACGAAACACUCACUCACUUCCUUUAAUCUCAGCCCCUUUCAAUCCACCACCGCCGCAGCAACCUCCUCCUUCUCCUUCUUCAGAUUCUCUCACUCCAGAAAACUCAGAACUUCAACGUCCUCAAUCUCCUGCUCCCACAGACCGCCUUCCAAUCCAAAAUACCCAAAACCCGGAUCGGAUUCUCAUAAUUUCCCCCUAAAUCCCCUCUGGGUUUUGGUCCCGGUCCUCCAAAGCAUCGGAGUCUUGGCCUCCUCACGAACCCAGAAGUGGGUUUCUUUCCUACAGGCUUACGGAGGGUCAGAGAGUUUCGUGGAAGCAAAAAGCAAUGACUUUUUACACAAUAGCGGGAUUGGGGUGGCGUUGCUGAGCGUGACGACCAAUGCCAAGGUGAAAAUUAGUCCUUUCGUGGCGCAAUUGGCUGCGAAUCCGACCUUUGUUUCGGGGCUUUUCGCAUGGUUUAUGGCGCAGUCAAUGAAGGUUUUGCUGAACUUCUUUGUGGAGAGGAAGUGGGAUUUCAGAAUAUUGUAUUCCUCCGGAGGUAUGCCGUCGUCGCACUCGGCGUUGUGCACGGCAUUGACGACGUCUGUGGCGCUCUGUCACGGGGUUGCGGACUCGCUUUUUCCGGUUAGUUUGGGGUUCAGUCUCAUUGUUAUGUAUGAUGCUAUUGGUGUUCGACGGCAUGCUGGUAUGCAAGCAGAGGUAAGCAGUAAAUUUCCGUUCUUUCAAUUUUUGUUCAAGUGUUGUGGAUGUAGUUUUUUAUUUUUUGCAUAUAUCUGUAAUUUAUUUGAGAUGUUAUUGGUUUCAAGAGGUGCUUUUGGUAUGAUUGAUUAGUGUAAUAUUGCAUAUUGGUAGGAAGGAGUUAUGGAACUUCUAGUGGUCCCAAUGGAUGAGGUGAGUACAAUGAAGUUAAUGAAAUAUAAUUACAAAUUAGGAGCUAAUAUUUUACCGAGGAUUAAGGGUGACUAGAAUCUAGAUCAUACAGUUGAAUGUGAUUAUCGAGUAUGGAGGUUUAAAGUUAAUCAAUUAAGACGUUGGUGUGGUUGGCCCUUAGUUGGAUAGGAUCGGGGAUGACCGUGGUUUUAGAUUAUUGGGGUUUUAGAGUUAAUGAGGUUGCUGAUAGGUAGUUUUGAAGCAAUCAAUCUAUGUGAACAAUUCAUGAAGCGCAGUGCCAAAGCACAAUGCAACAUCCUUCCUCUUUUUUGUUUCACGUUCGAGUUACAGUCCUCCUGCAAUGUAUUCACAAGUUCAGCAAGAUUUAAUAGUUUCUUCUCUGCCUGGCCCGUUGAGUGUGCAAUGUGUGUGAAUACCACGCUUUGAUCAUAUGUAAACAACGGAAUAUGGGCAUAUUGUGAGAAUUUUUCGCAGCUCCCAGUUGAACCUAAAAAUUAUUUGAAAGCUGAAACAAUAUAGAUAGAAAAUUUGAAGUUUUGGGUUUUACUUCCGGCGAAGUUUAUGUUGGGGAGUGUAUGUAGCUUUAGGUCAGGUCCAAUAACUAGGAAACCUUCAGUUUUUUUACUUCUCAUGGAACUGAAAGAGAAAUUUAAGGCAGUAUUAAUAUCUAUAGUAUGUAUGAAUGAGGGGACAAUCCUUUGUAAUCUCGAGCAAUCUCAUUUUAGUCUUCUUUGAACCCUUCAAUAUGUUUUUCGCCUGAGAACCCUGUGUGCAUAUAUGUUGGGCUCUGAUAGUUAUUUGACUUCCUGCUGCCGUGUUGUAUACAUUUUCAUAUAUAUUUUUAUUUCUUUUGACACAGGUCCUUAACAUAGUCGUUGAGUACUUGUUCAAGGGGCAUCCCAUCAGCCAGAAAAAGCUCAAGGAACUCCUUGGCCACACUCCCUCCCAGGUUAUUGGUGGAGCUCUCCUCGGCAUUUUGGUUGCUUGCGUUUGUUGUCAGGGCAGCUUGGUUGCCUCCUGAACUGACCUUGCAGGUAAUUUCAGUCGGAUUUUUGUUGACACACAACAUUCUGGUGUUGACAUGGCCAGAUAAGUCAUUGUACUUUAAUUCUUCAUUCAAAACCAGAGAGACAUUGGUUCAAAAAGUUGAUAGCAAUGUUAUUUUAUCCCUCGCAAAACCGAUCCCCGGCCCUCACUGACUAUGGACAAAUUUGAGAAAUGUAUUCACAGGGCCGGAAAUUUGUUGUAAGAUGUUUCAGGAUUCCCAAGAAGUUGGCCUGAAAUUUGGCUUGAAAGGGGACUGCUGUAACUCUGUAAACAAUCUGUGUAUGAUUCUGUGAAUAGUUGACGACCCUGGCCUUGUCUCCAUAGAAGAAGCUGCAAGAUUAUUUCAUUUUACCUUUCAACAUUAUUUCAUUUUACCUUUCAACCAACACGGCUGACAUUUUGUUCAUCUUUGCGAAAAAUGGAUCAAAGUAGUAAUUAAUCAAGCAUUUGAUUUUAUUUCGUUCGAGCUAUAGCUAGACUUGUUUGAGUUAGGUCUUUUUCUUUAACUUACUGCAUCUCGAAUUUAAGAGCAGUUCCAGUGUGGGAACCCUCCCCCCAUGCUAUUCACUAUUUAAUUCAUCUAGUAAACAAUAACUGCCCUUAAUGAACAGUAAUUACCUUUUGCAUCUCUAUCCCUACACUUAAAUAGUUCUGGCGAUAAGUAAAUAAAAUAAUAGUAUUUUUUGCAACUUGCUCACAUCACUCACGUCACUUCCUCUCUUUCCACUCAUCCUUCUCACUUCUCUCCAUUUUUUCUAAAGUUCCUCUCUCUCUCUCUCUAAGCUGUCGACACUCUCACUCUCUCUAGAGCUCCGAGAGCUCUCACACACUUUCCUCUUCAAAAAUUAAACAAAUCAAACUCCAAAACCAUGAAACCUUAAUCUCUGGGACUAAAAGAUCCUAGCUAUACGGUUGCAUGCGUCAUCGGACCAUCACGGUGUAAACUGUCAUUGAAGCCGAGAGCUUCAAGAUUUAAAACUCGAACACAGGUGAGGUUCUCUAUGAAAAUCUUGUUUCAUUAUGUCUUAAUGUUGUUUGGGACAAGAUUUGUGGUGUUUUUCCAGUUCGAAACCAAAGGUUUAACCCCUUGCAAUUUCUUUGAAACCUUGCCCAGUUUUUGGUCACCUCCUCGGAGCACACUCCAGCAAGUUUGUGGGUUAUGGAGCUCUUGCUCAAUUCGGCAAGGCGGUGGUGGUCACGAGGCGAAGGGAUUGGGAAGAGUCGUCAUCACUGUCGUCCAUCCACCGUGAGACGACGACGUCGUUCAAGAACCAUGAAGGUUGAGAAAGAGCAAAGGAAAUCUCGUCCACCACGUGGCUGACGUUGCCGUCGCCCUGACGUCAAUCCACGUCAGACUGCAUUUAGGCGCUUGAGCUGGCACGAAUCGACAUGUCUUCUCAGGCUGUCUUGCCAGCCAACGCUGGGCUUCCUCCCUCAGGCAAUCAAGCCCCAUUCCGCAGCCUGUCCCUUGAGCAUGAGCUCCCGCUGGAGCUGUUCUAAACACUCACCUAUCUUCUUAUUACAACUCAGAGUGUAACAAUAAUAGUAUUGCUUAUCAUAAGCAUCACGAAAGAGCUCAUGAGUGAUGGAAGUGUAAAUUCUUGGAACAUAAGAUAUCAAAUAACUUGAGAGUUGGGUAUUAUUUAUAUAUAAUUUUAAAUUUUAAAUUGAUUUCUGACCGUACGAUGUACGAUGAACGGACAUAAUUUAUGGAUCCUUGGAAUCCUCAUAAAGAGGAUCCGGAGAAGAUCCAUAUCCUUUUUUAUCCUUUAGAGAAAUGCUAAAGAAAUUUUCUCAACAUUGGGACUCUCUCCCUUCUUAUACUUUUGAUACAAUAUUUUAUAUUAUUAGCAUAGAAAGUUAACAUAAAACGGUGAAGUGAUAGAGAUCCUGAAGAGUCCCUUUGUUAGAGUCUCCUUGGCAUUUCUCUUUUCUUUAUAUUUUUAUAAUGAGGAAGCCGUGAUCGACAGGUGUAUAACGUUGACCUUCGCAUUUAGCUAACACGAGUUUGCUUACUGUUUUCUUAGGUCAUCACCAACCGAAGGAUCCAGAAGGUCAGAGGACAGAAAAUAGCCCGAAAACCGUCUCCAACCGAGGAUUAGUAAGAAAUAUGACUAUACAUUGUUCAUUAAAAUAUUAAUUUAUUAAAGGACCGGAGGGCUCUUCAGUUGGAGAUGGCUUACAACCUUAGACUGAAUCGAACAAGAAACCUAUAAUUGUUUGUUCGUCUCCAUCUUUGUCUCUUAAUCCAUACGAAUUGAAGAACCCUACAGAUACUUUCUCCAAGUCAAAUUACGGGAAAAUAAAAACCAAAGAUUGAAAUUCAGAAACUCGCAGGAAGAAGGAAAACAAGAAGAAGAGGAAGAAGAGGAAGUUCCAUUAUUUUAAAGAAAAACUAAUGAAAAAACCUUGAAAACUUUGAGUUUUAACUGACAAAAUAAAAGGUAAAGUGAAUAGUACCAUGAUUGACUUUUUAAUGUAAAAAUGUGGUUUUUUGUUAGAAUGAACAAUACAAGUGUUUUUCGUUAAAAUUCCUUUAUUUUAAUGGGCACCUCCAUCUCAAAGAAAAGGAGAGCAAAAGCCGGCCAAAGUGCCAGAUCGGGAUCAUCUGGUUUGGACGAGCAUCAUGCUGUUCUUGCUUCCCAAACCCCAUGUGAGUAUAAUUUAAGAAACGCCUGAUAACCAUUUUAGUUUUUCAUUUUUACUUUCUUUUUUUUAAUUGAAAACCAAAAUCCAAAAGCUUUUUUUUUUUUUUUAGUUAUAAAUUUACGUAAUUAAAGUUGGUAACUAAAUAAGUUUUCAGAUUGAAAAUAUAUUGGGUUGAUUUUGUUAUAAUUAAGUUUUUUUUUUUUUUUUUUUUUUUUUUUUUUUUUUUUUUAAAGGACUUGUUAUAAUUAAGUUUGAUAAUCUGAUGUUGUACUGAUGUUUUGGGAAAUGGCAGUUUCUGAGGGUGAGGUGGAGUCCUUGUAUGAGCUGUAAAGAAACUGAGCAGUUCUGUAGUUAAAGACGGGCUCAUACACAAGGUCUGUCUGUUUCCCUCUUUUUUCUUCAGAAUUUGAAGUAUUUGUUUACUAAUAUUUUAUUUUACUUUGAAUUAAUUCUAAAGAAUAAUUUUGAAAAUUUGACUUUUUUUUAAGAAAAACUAAUGAAAAUGAUUUCAAAACUUUGAAUUUUAACGAUAAGGACAAAAUAAAGGGUAAAAUGAAUAGUACAAUGAUUGACUUUUUAGUAUAAAAAUGUGAUUUUUCGUUAAAAUGAACAGUAUCAUAAUCUUUUCUUUAAAAUUACCUUUUUUGACUGCUUUUAUAAUUUGAUGCUUAUUAUGAACAGGAAGAGCUCCAGCUUGCCCUUUUCCAAAAUCACAAAAAAGGAACCUCUUUUUAGCGGUAAAUAUGUGGUCUUAAAUUAAUUACCAUUAAUAUUGUUUUUUCACUUUCUUAAGAUGCAUGAUUUUGUUAUUAUAUUAAAUUUAUUAAUUGAAUGGAAAUUAGAAGUGAAGCCUUUUGGUAUAAAGAUAUAUCUACUUAAAUGAAGUGUUACAACUUUUGACUCGUCAUGAAUAAUUACAUACUUUCCAAAGAGGUAUCUCACAUUCUAUAAAAUAGGGAAGCCCCUAUAAUCAUUAAGAUAACUUUUCAUUGUUAACAUAAUCAUACAUAGAGUGCACUAAAUAUUAGAGAGUCUUAUUGAGUCCAUAUGAGAGAGUUUUCAAAUCAAUCGUGGUUCAUAGAGCCUUAUGAUUUGGAGUGCUACUAUUACAAAGACAGAGUCGUUGUAUCUUGGGAGAUAUGUGCCGAUCAACCAUAAGCACCGUCGUGGGACGUAAACUUAUCUUAAGGAUAAAGUGUCCAACACUUGUCCCGACCAUAUUUUCUAGGUUUUUCUAAUCCAUUAUAUCAUGUUUAUUUAAUAUUAGUUACUCAUGUGCAUUUAUUAUUGUGAUAUAUAAUUGCAUGAAUUAUUUCUUGAUUUUCUAUGUAAUUUAUUAUAGCAACUAGACCCCAAUUUUUCCAACAGUAUUUGUUUAUACCAUACUUAGGGCCUCCGUAUUUAGAUCUCGUAUAAAUACUCGGGGGACUUAAAUGUAAUUAUAUAAUAGAGAAAUGGGCAAAUAUAUAAUAAGUGAUGAGCCUUUAUUCUAUAAAAGGACUCAUCACCUUCCUCAUUAAGAGAGGCCAUUUCUUAAGCCUUCUCACCCCUCUCACAUCCCCUCAUAUUCAGAGGUUCUCUUCCUCACCUCUCAGAUAAAUAUAAUAAUCAAUGUGGACGUAGCCCAAACAUUGGGGUGAACCACGAUACAUCUUGUGUUAUUUACAUUACUUUCAGAUUCAUGGUCGGAUUUACGUUGUUCCAAGACCUCCGGUUUUGUGCAUCAACAUUUGGUGCCGUCUGUGGGAACCGAUACGAAAAGUUGUGUCGGUUCUCUCUCAUUUUUUCACCUCCACCGUGAAUCUGCAAAAACCCAGGAAACCAAAUACUCUCUCUCUCUGGAAAUCCAAAAAGCAACAAACUUUGUGUGCGAGUGCAACUCGGGUGAGUCAGUGACCGAGUCAUGAGGACUUUGUCAAGUCCGAGUUUGAGGGUGGUGGUAGAAAAAAGUGGGUGGGCAGAGAAAAUGAAUGAACGCGGCGUCAUCUUCCUUCCGUGAUUAGACCGAUCAUUUGCCUCUCGUCAAAAACCCAGCACACCAGAAGCUGAGCUGCUAAUGCAGCAUACGUAAAUGUAUGAACGCGACGUCAUCCUCCUCGCCUCAAAAGCCCAUGGGCCCGAGACCAAGCACUCAUCCUCCUCAUUCUCCGCCAAUCAAGGGCUUCGACUUGAACAACUUUGUUUACGAAGCUAGGGUUUGUUGUAGUAUUAACGACAACUACAAGAAACGCAGCUUUGCGCAAGCUUUUAAUGACAGCGAGCAUGACAAGACUAGUUCUACUACUAGUGCAACGGCCGUGCCUCGAACGCCACCUUUGUUGCUUAGGAACAAGCAACCUAACAGUAACAGUGAAGAGGAAUAGGACGACAACAACCCUAAUAAAACAACAACAACAACACCGCAGCCUCUCCUUCUGCUCUUUCGUCUUCUUCCUCCCAUGAAAAUGGCAUAGCCACCCACAAACGAAAAAGAAGACUUGUAGGCACACCGGAUCCGAAUGCAGAAGUGGUGUCUCUGUCCCCCAAGACCCUACUCGAUCCGAAUGCCAGAAACGAAGACCUCCACUAUGAAGUUCGAAACGGUGAGGCCGUGGAGAAGGUCUCACCCGUGACCCUUAUCACUGUGAUGGAGUGCCAUCCUCGUCUUUCGAUCAAGGCACCCAAUGACGAAGAUGCCAUCAAGUUCUAUGUGGCCGUCCUGGGCGCCGUGGAGCUUAAGCAUGAAACUGAUCUCAAGCAAGAGGCUGACUAGGAGCGUCCGUACAUCUACAAUGCGAAGCUCAAGCUUGGGUCCUUCACCUUCCUUGUGACUGAGUCGGCCUCGAUGGUCGACUCCGGCGACGGCGAAGUUCUAGCUGACGGUGGUUUUAAGCAAGGAGUCAUAUGGAAAUGGAGAGGCUUUCCGCUAAAAAAAAUCACUUUUUCUCGCCUUUAAGGAUGCUGGGGGCUUUGAGGCUUUAGUCACUGGGAAGACAACAGACAUGGAUCAGAUUGAUGUGAAUGAGAGGAUAACUGCUUUGGAGCGGAUCAAUCCAACACCAUGUCCUACAACCUACCCAGGUCGCCUUUUUUGGAAGGACAAUGGAAUUUCGAGUGGUUUGGAUCUGGAAGCCCAGGUCUUUUUGCUGCCAGAUUUUUGUUUGAGAGGCUUCCUUCAACUUUGGCUAGUUUGAGAAAAAUGCAGGUGGUCAUCAAGGAUGAGAAUGCAAUGAUUACGGCAAAAUUGAAAGUGUUGAACUCGUGUAUGUUUCAGGCAAGUUGGUCGUGUUUGCAUCAGAACCUUGGAUUGCAUGUGCAAUUUGUUUAGGUACUACAUCACAAGACCAGCCGGUAGAUCUGUGUAAACCAAAGUCUGCAACUUUUUCCAUCCUUUUUCCUGGAAACUUAGGAAAAGUAGCAAUUUUAGCUGUGGACAGCAACGCAUGGUUGCUUUCUACUUUGGUGCCAAAUUCGGUUUUGACAAGACUGAAAGCGCAGUGAAUAGAAACAAAAGCAGAAAGCAAAAAAAAAAAAAAAAGAGAAAAGAAGACAGAAACAAAAGCAAAAGCAAAGCAAAAGGAGAGAAGAGAAUAAAAUUUGAAAGAUUGGGUUUUUUACUGAGCACAUGCAUGAUAGCAGCACAGAGACAGAUACAGAGAGAUGUGUGGUGGAAAAGUAAAAGCAGAAAGCAAAAGUAAGGAAUAAACACCUUACCAGAAUGAUGUGAUUUACUUUUCUUAUUUUUAUGAUGUAUUUUUCCUAUCUUUCGGAAACGUCUGUAUAAACCCCAUCAGAGGGUAAUAGUAAUAAAUAAAUAAAAACGACAAAGCCCAAAAUAAAUGGGCUGGAAUGUUGUGUAGAGGGCGAAAGCCUAUAAGCCCAAAAUAGCUUCAACCAGGCGAUCAAAAGUACACCCAGUACUCCAUAAUUAUUCGACAACCUGCCGCUAUUACCACCAACCAAGUGAUCAAAAGUACGCCAGUACUCCAAAAUUAUUCGGCAACUUGCCACUAUUACCACCAACCAGGUGAUCAAAAGUACGCCCAAUACUUCAAAUUAUACAUGAGCAGUACUCAUGUCAAUCAUACAUAAACAUUCAUGAGCAUCACUCAUGUCAACAUUCAUGAGCAUCACUCAUGUCAAUCAACGUAAACAUUCAUGAGCAUCACUCAUGUCAAUCAGCUUCAAAAGCUUCAUUUACAGAGCUACAGCUUCAAAAGCUUCAUUUACAAAAGCUCUAACUUCAAAAGCUUCAUUUACAGAGCUACAGCUUCAAAAACUUCAUUCACAAAAGCUCCAGCUUCAAAAGCUUCAUUUACAGAGCUCCAGCUUCAAAAACUUCAUUUACAGAGCUCCAGAUUCAAAGCUUCACUUGCAAAGCUUCACCUACAAAGCUUCAAUACAGGGUAUACAAAUACCGCCUCCGAACAAAUCGCUACUUCGGCCCAUACAUGGAUUCAAUUUGAAGUUUCCAGCCAACAGAUUCUAUUGACCAAAGACUUGAGGGACUACACUAUACACCAUAUAUUGGGCCUCAACUGGGCCUCAUAAAAAAUACUUGGGGAACUCUGACUUAGUUUGGGAGUGAGGUGCUUAAAAAAAAAGCACCCAUGAAAAAAAGCUGUGAGGGUUUUAGGUGUUUGGUAAACUGAAAAAAAAAAGGCUUAUUUUGGAAGCUGCUGUGAGAAUAAGCUGAAAUCAAAGGAAAAAGCUGAAGCUGCUAUUUGCAGCUUUGGAAAACUGGUUUUUUUUCAAAGCACACGGAGCUACAGUGCUUCUUUAAUGAAAAGACCCACUAUUAGACUGUUUUUUUUUUCCAAAAGCACUUUUACAAAAAAGUUUACCAAACACUCUGCUGAUUUAUUUCACAGCCGCUUAUUCUCACAGCACAGCCGCUUAUUCUCAUAGCAGUUUUUUUUCAAAGCACAGCAAUACCAAACCAGCCCUCUAGCUCAUCACUUAUGUAUUGAGGAACAAGCUCUUAUUCUAUAAAAGAGACUCCCUCACUUUCAUUAGAGAGCACCCAUUAUUCAUGUACUAAGGAGCGAACCCUUAUUUUAUAAAAAUGACUCCCUCACCUUCAUUAGAGAUCAACGCCGCAAGGAUCACUCCUAACCCAUCACUUAUGUAUUGGGGAGCGAGCCCUUAUUCUAUAAAAGGGACUCUUUCACCACCAUUAGAGAGCAUCGCCGCCUACUGAGCAACCGCUUCGCCGCGAGCAUCAACUCUAGCCCAUCAUUUAUGUAUUGAGGAGCGAGCCCUUAUUUUAUAAAAGGGACUCCCUCACCUUCAACGCCACAAGCCGAGCCAACCAAGGAAACAUAAGCCACAAGCCGAGCAGCCUCGCAACAUGUGAUAGUUGAGCAUCAUUUCACUUUGAGCACCGCCUCAUAUCAAGUAUCAGUUCAAGACGAUAUCUAGUUACUUCGGUCCAUGUCCACACAUGGACUGAAUUUCAAGUCUCCAGCCAAAAGACUCUCUUGAUUGAAGACUUGGGGGACUACUGUUUAUACCAUACUUAGGACCUCCGUAUUUAGAUCUCGUAUAAAUACUCAUGGGACUUAAAUGUAAUUAUGUAAUAGAGGAAGGGGCAAAUAUGUAAUAAGUGAGGAGCCCUUAUUCUAUAAAAGGACUCCUCACCCUCCUCAUUAAGAGAGGCCAUUUCUUAAGCCUUCUCACCCCUCUCACAUCCCCUCUCAUAUUCAAAGGUUCUCUCCCCCACCUCUCAGAUAAAUACAAUAAUCAGUGUGGACGUAGGCCAAACAUUGGGGUGAACCACGAUACAUCUUGUGUUAUUUACAUUACUUUCAGAUUCACGGUUAGAUUUACGUUGUUCCAAGACCUCCGUUUUUGUGCAUCAACAGUAUUCAUUUAAAAAAAAUGCAUGAUUUUGAUUUUUCAUGUACUAAUGUAUACUAUAGUGUUUGCAUUAGGAUUCUAAUUCCUAAAAUAUCUUUGUUCUGCCAUGCUUUGUAGCUAUUUUGAUAUUUUUGAUGUCGACGACAAUGGCCGUAUCGAGUUUGCAGAAUUUGUUCAAAUAUUGAGCGUUUUCCACCCAAAAACUCCUGACGCAGUCAAAAGUACAUGUAAGAACUCGACUCGUGAUGCAUUCGCCAAUUCCCAUGUGUUUGAAAAUUUUCAGUUUUCAAUUGGCAGUAGCAUUAGCAUGUCUUAACUCAAAUGUGUAGGCACUAAAAUUGAUACAUACAUUGAUAUGGCAGAUGCUUUUAAGUUAUAUGAUCUGAGGCGCACUGGUUACAUCGAGCACGAAGAGGUAAGUCCAGUCGACGUUUCUUGUUUUUCCAUCUUGGUUUCUCCUUUAGCUAAAAGUCCUUGAGGUUUAAGUUCUUGUUUGCUCCUUCAUGAAUCAUGAUUUUGCUUCAAAUGAUACAAUUUUUAAAACAGUUGAAGGUGAUGGUGCUGGCGCUUUUAGACGAGUCUGAUCUGGUUCUUUCAGAUGAUAUUGUCGAAAUGAUUGUGGACAAGGUAAGGAUUUUGACUCCGUUUAUCUUUGAUGAUUGCACUUCCCCAGUUUGUGAUCUCGAUGAUUGUAACUUUCUUGUAUGUGUCAGACAUUCAAGGAUGCAGAUGGAAAAGCGGAUGGUAGAAUUGACGAGGAAGAGUGGAAGGAAUACGUAGCACAAAACCCUUCUUUGCUGAAAAACAUGACUCUUCCAUACUUAAAUGUACGUCCUAAAACCUAAACCUGCGUUCUGCAAACUUUAGUUAGUGUUUUGUAAAUCGCUGAACAAGUAUCGCAUAUUUUAGGUCAUCCUCGUUAUCUCUUGGACCACAAGCAUGUGUCUGAUAUGCCGGUUCAUUGGUGUUCUAGUUUUCGUAGAAGUUUUGGUUUUGCUUGGCUUUUUAACAACGUCCGUAUGUCUACGUACUCUCUGCAGGGACAUAGCUCUAGCAUUUCCCAGCUUUGUGCUGAACAAUAAAGCAGAAAGAUCUAAACCAUGACCUAAAAUAGACAAGAAACCAGAAAGGUUGCUCCCUGCAGGAAAUAUAGAGAAUUUGCAGAAGCAUGCUUGGAGUGUGGAAAAAAUUGGCUUUGUGCUGAACAUAUCUGUUAGCCUACAAGUCAUGGCUUGAAUGGAAGACUAUUCCGAGUCCGCUUCGUAUAUGAACACAAAAACUGUAUAAUGCAACUAUGAAUCUCAUGGAGAGUUCGAUCCAGCUUAGGAUGAACGGUAGCGGCAUGCUUAACACCAUGGAUAUGGGAGCUUCUAAUUGCUCUGUUCAGUCUGCCUUAAUUGUUGAAGUUCAAUUAUUUGUAAGGUCAUACUAGGAUGUUUUCAAAUGGAAAGCAUUACGAAUAAUGCAAACACAAUUUUUGUGCGUUGGAAAUGUGUCCAAGAUGGCAAAACCUCGGGUUUAACAAAGGCACACAGCCAUUUCUAUAUCUCUCUCAUCACGUGAUUAGGUGUACAGAGAUAUGCACCACUAUAAAUAAUUAAGUUUAAAGGUAAAUAUACCAAUUCGAGAAUGCUUAGAAUAGAAAUAGGAAGGUUAUUACAAAGUCUUGAGACCACAUGUUGAGAUGGAAACAAGGACGGAACGGAAACAACUAAAUUUUAGAUCUAAUUAGGAGUAUUUCCUCUUUUUACUUAUAUCUCUCUUCAUAGACUUUUUAAAAGGGAAGCAAAGCCAGUGUCUUGCUUCGUGUAAGCCCAACCUUCCAAAAUUGCUCCAAUACGACUCAACUAGCCUUAAUUGCCAAGUCCAAAAGGGUAAUUAUACCAUUUUUUUUGUUUGGAAAAAAAUGUUUUAUUCAAACACCAAUAAAUAGUAGAAAUUUUAAAACAAAAAGUUAUCCUAAACUCAAACGUGAUUAUUAGGAAUAAAAGUUACGUCUUAAAAAGACAUGUUCCUAAAUAAGUUAUCAUGAGAAGAAACAAAACAAAGGUCUUAGGUUCGAUUCAUGCUAAAGGUGAAUUUAAGCUAAAUUAUUACUAGCCUAUUAUGAGACUAGGCCCACCCUCUCUCAUUUAGUGUAGAUAAUAUCGUUUGUUCACAAACAAAACAAAAUAUAUACAAUGCAAUCCAAAACAACAACACAAAUAGACCGACAUUGUACCCUAAAAAUAUGGACCUCAAUAAAAAGUCUUGUUGAAGCAUAUCACAUGGAAUAAAACUUCAGAAUUCGAAAAAAAAAAAGAGCGCUACAUAUACAAUAAUUAGAGAAUCAAAACUACUCUAUCAUCUUUAAAACUUUCGGAAAAAAAAAAAUAUUUUCUGAAUAAUUGCAAGCCAUGCUGUUGGCCUCUGCAAACCAGCGGGCUGAUCAGACAUUCAAGGAUGCAGAUGGAAAAGCGGAUGGUAGAAUUGACGAGGAAGAGUGGAAGGAAUACGUAGCACAAAACCCUUCUUUGCUGAAAAACAUGACUCUUCCAUACUUAAUGUACGUCCUAAAACCUAAACCUGCGUUCUGCAAACUUUAGUUAGUGUUUUGUAAAUCGCUGAACAAGUAUCGCAUAUUUUAGGUCAUCCUCGUUAUCUCUUGGACCACAAGCAUGUGUCUGAUAUGCCGGUUCAUUGGUGUUCUAGUUUUCGUAGAAGUUUUGGUUUUGCUUGGCUUUUUAACGUCGGUAUGUCUACGUACUCUCUGCAGGGACAUAACUCUAGCAUUUCCCAGCUUUGUGCUGAACAAUAAAGCAGAAAGAUCUAAACCAUGACCUAAAAUAGACAAGAAACCAGAAAGGUUGCUCCCUGCAGGAAAUAUAGAGAAUUUGCAGAAGCAUGCUUGGAGUGUGGGAAUUGGCUUUGUGCUGAACAUAUCUGUUAGCCUACAAGUCAUGGCUUGAAUGGAAGACUAUUCCGAGUCCGGCUUGUAUACGAACACAAUAACUGUAUAAUGCAACUACGAAUCUCAUGGAGAGUUCGAUCCAGCUUAGGAUGAACGCUGGCGGCAUGCUUAACACCAUGGAUAUGGGAGCUUCUAAUUGCUCUGUUCAGUCUGCCUUAAUUGUUGAAGUUCACUUAUUUGUAAGGUCAUACUAGGUUGUUCUCAAAUGGAAAGCAUUGCGAAUAAUGCAAACACAAUUUUUGUGUGUUGGAAAUGUGUCCAAGAUGGCAAAACCUCGGUUUUAACAAAGGCACACAGCCCUUUUUAUAUCUCUCUCGUCACGUGAUUAGGUGUAAAGAGAUAUGCACCACUAUAGAUAAUUAAGUUUAAAGGUAAAGAUACCGAUCGAGAAUGCUUAAAAUAGAAUCAAAAAGGUUAUUACAAAGUCUUGAGACACAUGUUGAGAUGGAAACAAGGACGGAACGGAAACAACUAAAUUUUGGAUCUAAUUAGGAGUAUUUCCUCUUUUUUCUUAUAUCUCUCUUCACAUAGACUUUUUAAAAGGCAAGCGAAGCGAGUGUCUUAGUUGCUUCGUGUAAGCCCAACCUUCCAAAAUUGGUCCAAUACGACUCAACUAGCCUUAAUUGCCAAGUCCAAAAGGGUAAUUACACCAUUUUUUUUGUUUGGAAAAAAUGUUUUAUUCAAACACCAAUAAAGAGUAGAAAUUUUAAAAGAGUAAAUUGUACAAAUGGUCCCUCAACUUUAAUCAAAUUGGAGCAAUGGUCCCUCAACUAAAAAUCCAUUACCUUUGGUCCCUCAACUUAUCAAAACGUGCAGCUAUGGUCCCUCAACUAAAAAUUCAUUACCAUUGGUCCCUGAACUUUAAUUCAAGUGGAGAAAUGGUCCUUUAACUUUAACUCACUUGUAGCAAUGGUCCUUCCAAUAUAACUCGUUUUGACAAAUUUUUUGACAUAGUUGACAAAAAGAACCAUAAUUAUACACUUUGAUGAGUUAAUGAACCCUAAUUAUAUAAAUGGUCAUUCCAACAUAGCUUAUUUUGACAAAAUUUUGACAAAAUUGAUAAAAAGGACUAUAGCUACACAUUUUGAUAAGUUGAGGGACCAAUGGUAAUGGAUUUUUAGUUGAGGGACCAUUGCUCCAAUUUGAUUAAAGUUGAGGGACCAUUUGUACAAUUUACUCAUUUUAAUAUAAAAAGUUAUCUUAAACUCAAACUUAAUUAUUAGGAACAAAAGUUGCGUCUUAAAAAGACAUGUUCCUAAAUAAGUUGUCAUGAGACAAAACAAAACAAAGGUCUUAGGUUCGAUUCAUGUUAAAGGCGAAUUUAAGUCAAAUUAUUACUAACCUAUUGUGAGGCUAGGCCCACCUCCUCCCCUUUAGUAUAGAUAACAUCGCUUAUUCACAAAAGAAAAAAUACAUAUAAAACAAAAUAUAUACAAUGCAAUCCAAAACAACAACACAAAUAGAUUAACAUUGUACCCUAACACUAUGCUUGGAUAAAGAAAUUUAAGAUUACUAAGGAAUUUUAAAAUGACGGAAAUUGAAAUGAAGGGAUUUUAUUUUCUAGAAUUUGUGAAUUUUGUUGUUUGGUUAACUUAAAAAAACAAUAGAAUUGAAAACGGAAUUUGUUAAUUUUAAACUCUCAAUCAUAUAAAUUGGGAAAUGACACAUAUUUACAUGAAAUUUAAACUUGGAAAUUGGAGACCCCAAAUUUCAAGUUUUUUUUUCCACGCGGAAAUUCUAAAUUUCUUUGAUAUUAAUCCAAACAAGGAAAUUGGUGCAUGUCAAUUUAUAAAUUCUGACACUUAUCCAAAUUUCAAGUUUAUUUCUCUCAUCCAAACAUAGUGUAAAAAUAUAGACCCCGAUAAAAAGUCUUGUUGAAGUAUAUCACACGGAAUAAAACUUCAGAAUUCGAAAAAAAAAAAUAAAAAAAGAGUGCUACAUAUACAAUAAUUAGAGAAUCAAAACUACUCUAUCAUCUUUAAACCUUUCGGAAAAAAAUAUAUUUUCUCGAUAAUUGCAAGCCAUGCUGUUGGCCUCUGCAAACCAGCGGGCUGAUUAGCCAUCUAAUUUUUUAUACUUUAGGUUCUAUUCUCGUUAAAUACGAAUUUGAAUUACAUUAUUGCUAUCUCAGUAUGAUGUUAAAUUCACCAAUUUCUCUUAUUAUAGAUAAUACCGCUUGUUAAAAUAAAAUUAUAUUCUAAUAUUUCUGUUACAAUUUGGCAUUAGAGCAACUUUGUUUUUCAAAUUUCAAAAUGUUGUAAUGGGACCCGGACUUUCUUUCAUUCAACGAAAAAAGAGUAAUCUUUUUGUUUGGUCGAAAAGGUUAGUUCCCUUUUUUUGCCCAGUCAUUUCUAAUAAUUCCAAACAAAAUAAUCACUGAUUAAUCAGCAAUUAUCCACGUGGCUUUCCCUAAUUGGGCAAGCCACGCAGCUUGAAAGGGCGUUUAACUUUUCCCACCGUCUUCCUCCUUAACUUGGUCAGCACUGCAACUGUCCGUCGUGUUGCUUCCGCGAACAUUCCCACGGCAAUUUAAUUAAUUAAUUAAAAAUAUAAAUUACUUAUUCGUCGUCAAAAUCCAACACCUCGCCCCUACCUCUCCACUUCCUCACAUCUCAGCGUCUGCACGCGUCUUCCUUCAGCUUUCUCUCUCCCAUUUGCCCCCCAAACUACAUACCCAUUAGAAGCUACACGACAAAUCGCAAUCGAGCUGAAUUCUCUUCAGUCACUCCCUUCUUUCCGGUUCUUCCUUCUCGGUAAGAAUCGUGAUCGAUCUUUGUUAUUGAUUUGCCCCUGUUACUUGUUAUUGGUAAUUUGUUGGGUCCAAUUUGUAGGAUUUUGUUUUGCCGAUUGGUUUGUGGGUUUUUGGAUUUUUACUUGGGUUUUGUAAUUUCGGUUUGCAGGUGAUGGAUUUAUAGGGGUUGGAUCUGUGCGUACUUUUUCCCCUUUCGUUUGGAGGGGAGGAGGGUAUUCAAGUUUGUUCCUUUUGUUGUAUAGUUUGUGAAAAUUGAAUCUAGGGUUUGUUUGAUCAUCUGGGUAUUAAUCGGGUGGUCAAUUUAGGGUUAGAUAUGGCUGCAUUCUUGUAAAUAUGUGUAUAGUUUUCCUAGGGUUUGAAAGUUCUGCAUUGAUUUGAAGAGCUUUUUGACUUUCUUGGAAAAUUUCAAAUUAAGAGCAUAAUGUCGUCCGCCGGUAUUGCUGCUCUUACUCCGGCUCACAGUGAGCCCGGGUUUCCCCAACCGUGUAUGUCUUUGGAUGAAUCGAUAUUGAUAUAUCUCUCGGUGUCUGGGUCAACUACUCCCAUGAGUGUUUUGGGAUCGGACUCUAUUGAAUCAGUGAAGCUUAGGAUACAAACCUAUAAAGGGUUUGUUGCUAAGAAGCAAAAAUUAGUUUGUGGAGGUAGAGAACUGGCUAGGAGCAAUUCCAUACUCCGGGAAUACGGGGUAACGGAUGGGAAUAUUCUACAUUUGGUCCUUAGGCUUUCUGACCUUAAAGAGAUCAAUGUCCGAACGACUUGCGGGAAAGAGUUUACCUUCCAUGUGGAACGUGGUAAAGAUGUUGGAUAUGUGAAACAAAAGAUUGCAAAGAAGAGUAAAGAAUUUGUUGAUCUAGAAAGACAAGAAGUUGUGUGUGAUGGGAAACUACUUGAAGAUCAGAGACUUAUUGAUGACUUAUGUAAACAUAAUGAUGCUGUCUUACAUCUGUUGGUUCGGAAGUCUGCAAAAGUUAGGGCCAAACCAGUUGAGAAGAACUUUGAAUUGUCAGUUGUGGCAUCACAAUUGGAUGAUGGGAAAAAUUAUGAAGUUGGUGGAGAUAAUGUGAAGCGACAAUAUGAUGCUGGUCAGCAUGACUUUAAGAGAUGUUAUGAAGUUGUGCCGAGUAAACCUCCUGACAGGGGCUUUUUGUUGGAGCCUGUCAUUGUUAACCGCAAGAUUGAAUUACCUUCCCAGAUUUGGGACAUGGUUGCUGACACGUCUAACGGACUAGCUAGUGGGAGUUAUCCAAUUAGGUCUAUGGAGGGUACGGGAGGAGCGUAUUUUAUGCCUGACUCUUCAGGUCAAAAGUAUGUAUCUGUUUUUAAGCCAAUUGAUGAGGAGCCUAUGGCUCAAAACAAUCCGAGGGGGCUGCCAUUGUCAUUGGAUGGUGAAGGAUUGAAAAAGGGAACAAGAGUUGGAGAAGGAGCACUUAGGGAAGUGGCUGCUUACCUCUUGGAUCAUCCAAUGGGUGGGCAUCGCAUGCUGUUUGGUAAUGCAAAGGGCUUUGCUGGGGUCCCCCCAACAUUUAUUGUCAAGUGCUUUCAUAAAGUGUUCAACCAUCCUGGGGAUGCAACUGUUAAGGUCGGGUCCUUGCAGAAGUUCAUGGAGAAUAGUGGAAGUUGUGAAGACAUGGGCCCUGCAGCUUUCCCAACUGAGGAAGUGCAUAAGAUUUCUGUUUUGGAUAUCAGAUUGGCAAAUGCGGACAGGCAUGCUGGAAACAUUUUGCUGGGCAAAGAGGGUGAAGAUGGCCGGACUGUGCUGAUUCCAAUUGAUCAUGGGUACUGCUUACCUGAAACGGUAAGUACAUUCACUUAAACUUUUAUUAACUGGCAGUGAUUUGUCUUUGUUGUCAUUUUGUUAUUGUUUUUGGCGUUUCUUUUCUCGUUUUCCUGAAAUUUAUCUUCAUCAUAUAGUCAGCAGCUCAUUGCCAUGACAUUAUUUAGGAGAUUUAUUUUCAUUUUUGUUUUCUGAUAUUGUAAUACUAAUUUCAUGUGUAUUGUCUUGUUCCUGCAGUUUGAAGACAUUACAUUUGACUGGUUGUAUUGGCCACAAGCACGCAAGCCUUAUGCUGACGAGGUCAUUGAUUACAUCAAAUCACUGGAUGCAGGAGAAGAUAUUGCCCUUUUGAAGUUCCAUGGAUGGGACAUGCCCCACAAAUGUGCUCGCACACUUCGCAUUUCAACCAUGCUGUUGAAGAAAGGGGCAGAGAGACAGUUCACUCCCUUUGCCAUAGGAAACAUAAUGUGCAGAAAAACCUUGAACAAGGAAUCCGUCAUUGAGGAGAUAGUGCAAGAAGCAGAGGAUUCUGUGCUCCCUGAUUCAAGUGAAGAUGCUUUUCUUGAGGCCGUGUCCCAAAUUAUGGACCGUCGCCUUGAUGAGAUUGCAAGAUCACCUUCGUAAAGGGAUGCUGAAUCAUGUGGAGAACAUAGGUACAUAAAGUGUAGAUGACCAUGUGAUUAGCGUACAUAUGUUUGUAUGGCAAGAGGACUAGCCCUCCUUUUGCCCAUACACCUUCAAUUUCGUAUCCGUUUUUUCAUUAUAGACCCGCAGUUUCUUUCGUAUUCGUGCUUUUCCUUACGGACCAAAAUCCAGUUUCGGUUGACUUGUAGUGAAGUUCGUGGUUCAUUUCGUGACAAUUUCUAAUCCAUUUGCAAUAGCACUGAAGUUUGUUUUGAAGACAGAAAAUUUCAUUUGUUAGGUUUGGGAUGCUUUUUUUGUUCUGGAUACUGCAUAUUCCAAAAAUGCAUAUCAGACCACUAUAUUUUGAUAAAAUGUUUAAGAAUAAAAUAGGAAAAUGGCGACUUGUUGGCAAUGGUGGUUGAUACAAUCUCAAUUGUUUCGGUUUUAAUGAAUUAAAUGAGCCAUUUGAAUUUGUUGGACAUUGAAAUUCACAUAUACUGUGCGGGAAUUCUAUAAUACCACGUUGCAUCCAAUGCUACGGUGAAACAUAUCGUAUACGCUCGUCACUUUUAUCAACUCCAUUAAUACUCCGGUGCACUCAUUCGAUGCAUUUUCCGGCUUGUUAUAUUAAGUUGGAAUUCCAAUAAGAUAAAAGGGAAAAAUACAAUGAAGUUGGAAAUUAUUCACAAAGUAAAGCAAAUAUAUAGGAAUUAAUAUUUAAGGAACCAGCUCCGAAGAUGUGUUGUUGCAAGUGACCACUCGGAGUCGGAUUUGGGAGGUAGCUGCACUGCUGCAAUGGCUAGUCUUCAGGUGAGAAGAAUGGGCAACAUGCACAAUUGACUAUUGCAACUUCUGCGCCGGUGUAAGAAUGCGCGAGACGGUGACUUGGGUAAAAGGUAACCUGAAAGGUAAAUGCUUGGCACCAAAUCAUGGAGCUCCGGGUACUUGUACAAAGUUUGUCCGGCGUUUGUGCAGCGACCAGAAUAAGCAUGUGGAGUUUGUCAUUACCAUGAACUUCUUACACGCUCGAUUACUGUUGUCUCUCGGAGCAUGCAUAUGAUCAAGCAUCACCUUUCUUUCUUGCUGGGCUUCUUCAGCAUUUUCUUUGAUCUUUUUCUGCAAUCAAAGACAUCAAGAUGUAAGAAAAUGUUCGUACUAAGAAAAUAAAAUGCUAUGGUAAAAUAACACGAAUCCAUGCUUUGGUGUUCCGUGCUGGUUAAGUAUUGCAUGGAAACAACUCCAUCAGAUUGAAGGACUUACUUCUUAGUGGGCUUGCCGCUGAAACCAAUUGCACUCUUCAUCGUCUGUGUUGGUCUUUUUCUGCGAUCAAGACAGUCAGGAUGCAAAAAUGUGACUAUUUUGAAAACAGAAUACAAUGAAAUCGUGUCCCAUAAACCAGGUAAGUAUUGUAUGGAAACAACUUUAUUAAAGUUAAGAAAUUACUUCAUAAUAGGUUUGCCACUGAACCCAAAUACACCCUUCAUCAACGAGCUUAUAUCCAUAGAGCGCUCUUGCAUGAUCUUAUCAUGGUAUAUUUUGCUCCCAAUCUCGCUGAUCUGUUCCUCCACUUCUUCCAAAGUUUGGUCCACAUUGAGCGGAAGCUCUCCUUUCCUAAUGACAGUUACACCAAAGCCAUUCGUUUUGGCUUCCCGAAAAACAUCCUGGAGAGGAGAUAAGUGGAUGGUUCAGAUAAAUUGGUCACCCACCUCAACAGAUCAAUAAAGAUUAGAUGGAACAAUUGAAAGGGAACAAUUGAACAACAGUUGGGAAAGAGAUUUAAUUUGUGAACGGGAUAACAUAUGAAAACCAUAGAGCAUCACAUCUCAAGUCUCUUGUCUUAAAAUGAAAAAACAUUAUGAGUCCUGUUAACUGAGUGAUAUUGAAAACAUAAAAUGGCCGUUCCACCCAAGUUGGCCUCUCUUGAGAGAAUAUAAUUUGCUAAGACCAUGAAUUGCAAUAAAUUUUCAACAGCUGCAACUGAAGAAUGAUGAUCUACUUGAAACAUUACAUUCAGAACUGAAAACAAAUUAAUUAUUUACCUUAGGUGGCUGGGCAACAACAAAGGCAUGGCCAUUCCCAUGUGUUUCCAUUUGAGCCUGGAUGAUAUAACAAAGAUUUUUGCAAUCAUUACUGUCCUCGAAAGCAAUCACAUGGUAUGGCUUUGGUUCCAAUUCAAGAUCCGCAGCCAUCUCCAAUGAAUAAAAUCCAAUCCCUUGUUCUUCAUUAUCAACUGUGUACAGCUCAAUGCACUGGUAAGUACAGAGAGAAUUAACUACUGGUUGAGUAUUGGGGAAAAAUAUCUACAUAAAGCUUAAAAUCAAGGCCGAUGUUAAAAACCAAAUAGAUGUGGAAUAAGGAUUAGAGGUUUGAAACCCAGGACCUCCUGGAACUUGAAUAUAGUGUUAGAUGACAACUAAUUCCAGAAAAUGAAACUAUUGGGGAAUGAACUAGCAGCACAAAUCAAGCUUAAAAAAUUGCAGAAAAGUCGAAGUGCAUAUCUAGCUUACCAGCACAUAAGGCAGAUCUAGCCACCACAAGUAAUCUUCUUUCUUAUCUUCUGCAUAUUCACGGUAUUUGCUCACUACAGCCUGUGGCCCAAACAAUUCCAUCUCUCUCUUAAGCUUGCUGAGUUUCUUUUCCAUGAAUUCCUUACUUUUUUCAGGCAUUCUGUCCAUCAGAUCAGCAGCUUCCUGUAUUUCUUUUUCAGUGAUCCAUCGAUCUAAACCCUUCCCCAUGUCCCUCAUAGUGGAUUUAAUUUCUGGGUCUGUCUCCGCAUUGUAGGAUUCCAAAAACCCCUGAGACCAUUUUUUCGUGUGUUGCCAAAACUCCUUUCCUGAUUUUUUGCCAGUUCUAACAGAACCAUCACUCCCUUCUAUAAUUGUCUUUGAACUGCUAAUAUCCUUCUUAUUUGGGUCAUUGGUUAAGGAAGUAGCAGCAAUACUCUCAUGGGAUUGGGAUCCUGUUGAGUUCUGAAGAAAGUUCUGCUCAUCUUUAUUCACCAAAAUCUCACUAUUAUCAGCAAAAAUUGCCUUCCGCUGCUCUUGGAAAUAAUUCAAGAACUCCGGACUCUUUUCUAUUGGGGGACCUUUCCAGCGGGGUAUAAUUUUCUCUGGUGGAUCAUAGAUGCUGAUACCGUCUACAAGGAAAGCAAAAUAUUAGUCCAAGCAAAAUAUGUAUUCAAGAAAAAUCAAAUAUCCAAUUUUCUCAUUAGUUGGCAAGAUUUAAACCUAAAAGCUACCAUGAAUACAGCCCUCCAUUUUCCAUGUCCAACAACAACAACAACAAAGCCUUUUCCCACUAAGUGGGGUCGGCUAUGUGAAUCCUAGAACGCCAUUGCGCUCGAUUUUGUGUCAUGUCUUCCAUUAGAUCCAAGUACUCUAAGUCUUUUCUUAGGGUCUCUUUCAAAGUUCUCCAUUUUCCAUGUCCAAGAUAAAGAUUAUAUUAACAAAUAGUCGGCCUAACAAGCGGUCAAUGGAUCUAGUUAUGUAAGGAACCAGUUUAGCGAACAAAUACAAAGAGAAGAGUAAACUACCAUCAGAAAACCUAUGAGGCCUAUCAAACUGGUUGCAGUAAAAACUUGAAACAUCUCAACAUAGUGAGAAUGCUGUACAAUUAAAUUGACCCUUUCUGAAUUCAUAAAAUUUUCACAAAAAAAAAAUAAAAAAAAAAAAAAAAAUCUAUAUCAUCCUCAAUGCUGAGAAGUAGAUCAAUAGGUAUGAGUCCAAAAAUUACCUGCACCAUAAUUGAGGUUUUCAAUGUUCGCAUGGAGCAACUCAUGCAGUUUCGUCAGCUUUUUAUUCUCUUUCUCAACUUUCUUCUCAAGACCCUUGAAGAAUGCAUCCUUAUCUUCAGCAUCCAUCAUAUGAAACGGAUCCCGUCCUGCCAAUUCAUUAUCUCGGACUUGAAGAACAAUUUCCCUAAGACUAUCAUCUUUCAUCCAUUCAAGUUCACUGUCAUCUUCUUCAUUAGAUCCAAGCUCUGUCAUGUCCGAACUCAUAAUUGAAUCUUGAUCUGCUUUUCCUUUUGAAACCAUGUAAUUAUCUCUAAAACCAACUCCAAUCUUCUUAGCUAUAGGUUCAAAUUCAUUAAAGUUUUCCUCCAUCCACUUCUCAUAUUUAACAGAUGGUUCUGUCAUUGAAUCACUGUUACUACUUUCAUGAUCUAAAGAAACCUGUUCCUUUUGAUCAUCGUCCAUGAUGUGUCUUUUCUCGGUUUCAUCAGGUUUAUCACUCUUUAUAGCUUCAAAUUUUUCAUCCUUCAGAUCAUAAUCUUCAGAAGCAUUUUCGGUAGAUGGAGGAUCUGAUGUUUCAUCUGGAAUCACAUGAGCUAAAACAUUGUUGACCACGAACCCUCCCUGGCUUCCAUUGUUACCAAAGUCUUUAUCACUUCGUAGCCUUCCAAGAACAUCACUUCUGGGGACAGGUUCAAAUCGGGGCUCUUCAUUUAGCUUUGUUUUGUCAUGUUUUUUGGAAAGAUACUCCCUAGCUUCUUUCACUGAUCUUAUAACCCUUGGUUUGACUUGAAGGGAACCAUUGCUGGACUUGCUGGACUCCCUAAAAGGAGCAUUGUCUGGUAACUGCAAAUUCCGUUUACAGUCUGUUACAUCCUGGUUAGUGCUUUCCCUUUCAUCUGAAACUUCUAUAUUCGAAAUACUAGAAGUUUCAUUAUGCCCGUCCUCAACAAAGUCUAACUUUUUACUAGAAGAAGUAUCAUCACGACCCUCACUUUGCCUGAAAUCUCCAUUUACAAGGUUGGUUAGAAUAUUUGCUUCCCCUUCUCCAUGCCGUUUGACAGCUUCUAUUUCAUCUGAAAUUUCAUUCACAGUUCCAUCUGAAAUUUCAUCAUUCGGAGUCUGAAUAUCGUUUCUAUCCCUAUCCCUGCUCUCAAUUUCUCGCGCUUGCCUGGCCAUAUUUCUGAUUUCGUGAACCUUAUCAUCAAAAUCUGUUUUCACAGCAGCAGUCAUGGAACUUGGAGAAACUUGUAGAGCGAGGUUACCAUUUGACGAUUUUUCUCUCACAAUAACCUUCAUAAGUUCUUGCUUGUCAAGGCUAGGCUUUUUAAAGGAACCCAGUGGCAGUUCCGGAGCUGCUUGAACAACUUCCACACUGCUCGGUUCUAACAUCUCUUUCUCCUUUCUUGCUUUGAUCUUUCUCCUCAUCAUUUCCUUCUCCAAUUCCGAGUACCGCUCUUCUUUAUUUCCAAAAGUGAAUAACUUCUUCAAUGCCCACAACGCAAUGACACCAUACAACACCAAUCUCCCAACUCGAGAUAGCUUUGGUAUCAACUCAGGUCCAAGAGUAAAACCCUGAAUCGCCUUCACAAGACCCUCACCCUCACCCUCAUUAACAAACUUGGCUAUGGAACUAUUCCUCGGAAUCCCAUUGUUCCCUCUCUCCAUCUCUCUAGCUAAACUCUCCGCCUGCAAAAUUUUCAAGUUCACCUCCGCCGAGCCCUCCAAUUCUCCUCGCUCAACCCGGCUUCUCCUCAAGAUUUCAUCCUCAUUAACUGAAACAGCUUUCACACUACCAUCAGAAUCUUGCACAACAGUAAAAAUAUGACCCGAACCAAUGCCCCAGUACUCAGUAUCCCUCCUAUACUGCUCCAUCCAACUCUCCAAUUUACUCAACAAAACCGAAUCACCAAGACGUUUCGAAUUCGAUUCUUCUACAUUACCCGUUUCAGCUACACUAUCAUCAGCAACCCCAUUACAAAAUUUGCUCUCUUUCGCACCAUCAUCAGAAACCAAAUUACUAAAUUGACUCUCAGAAUCAACAAAAUUAUUAUUCAAAAACUGAAUUUCAGAACUUGGGUUUAAAGGAAUUGAAUUCUGAUUCACCUUUUGGCCGUCAGUGAGCUUCUUCCUCAGCGAGUUUCUGCGGCUGGUGGGCCCACCGAACUGCGCGAAAGCUCGACACUUUCUGCUGUUGCAGGAGAGUAAAUAGAUGGAAAAUGAUGGGUUUUUGUGGAAAUCGAAGGUGCGAAUGUUGUACCGAGAUGGGGUUUUCUUGUUCGGAGAAUUGGCGGGAAAUUUGGAAGGGAAAGGUGAAGUGAGAGAGAGAACCUCCAUGGAUGAAGAUAGAGAGGUUACAUUCAGAGCUUUCGGGGAGAUUUUGGAGAGGUUUUUCAGUAUUUGUUAGUUGGUAUAUUAUGACAUGUCGUUCAUGAAGGAGAACGACAUGUAACAUAUGUCGUACUAAUUAAAGAUUUCAAAGGCUAGCAUUAUUUGGGUGAACAAAUAUGAUGCUCUACACAUCAAUAUGCCACAUAUGCGGAGAAGUAAUAGUAGUAGUAAGUACUUAGGUAUAACGGAAUUAAUAUUGUAGCGGUAUUUUAAGUUUAUCAUUUACUGAUAUGCGUUUACAUGAUUAGUUUGGAAUACCGUCACAAUGACAUCCCGUUGCAUGCAAGUUUUUCUCGUUAAAAUUAUGCAUGUAGCGCUCACAAUGUAAAAAAGUUACCUACUCAGAUGGACAACUGACGAUGACAAGAUUCAUGUGAAGGAUUGCAGGUGCACACAUAUUUUUCUGUUAAGGUCAUCACAACACAAUUCAUUCAUGUCAAGGUUGUCUUACCAUCUAUACUCCACACAUUUAGAAACUUGAGAAUACAAGGUAUUUCUUGUAUGGUAAUUAUAUACCAGUUCAUCCAAUCUUAGGUUGCUUCAUCGUAUACAGAUCAACCCCAAAAAAUUACCAACUAUAAACCUCGAAACUGCCCUAUAAACUCCACACCUAGGGCUAGGCGGGGGCUAGCAGCCAUGGCGUCAACUCUGAUAUUCUCCCACUUACUAAUUUCAAUCAUGAUCACCAUACCUCCAUCGUCCAUGUCUUCUCCUAAGACACCAGUCCGAGGUUUCGAGGCACGUCUCAUUCACCGCGACUCUCCUCAAUCUCCGUUCUACAACCUCAAGGCCACACCUACCAAUCGCAUCAAAUCAGCACGCCGCAGAAUCAUAGCUAGACAAAACUACUUCAAAUGGCUAAUGUCAGGCAAAACACAGCGCAAUUCCAUCAGCACGCCGAUUGAUACAGACUAUGGAGACAACAUCAUGAGGUUCAAAGUUGGCACCCCAAGAGUUGACACCUUUGGGAUUUUCAACACGGCCAGCGAUUUAAUUUGGUUUCAAUGUAAGCCUUGUGAAAAAUGCUACGAACAAGGCAUACCAAUAUUUGAUCCUGCAAACUCAGACAGCUAUCAGAAGGUAAUGUGCGGCUCCAUCGAGUGCAAUACAACCUCAGAUGCCCAUUGCCCUGAUCCAAAAGGCGAAUGCCGGUACAAAAUUGCGUACCAAGAUGGAUACUGAAGGAGACAUUGCCACGGAGACAAUCAUGAUUGAACAUGAUGGAUAAAGUGGUAACAUUAAUUAACAAACAUGAUUAUCGGUUGUGGUCUCACUAAUGUCGAAACAAAAGCAGGCCAUCACCCACCUGGAGUUGUGGGACUUAGGAGUUAGGAGAGAGCCUUCUUCACUUGUUGGUCAGAUUUCGUACCCCCACCUUUCGUAUUGCAUUUCUUCCAAAAAUAAUGGCAUCUACAAUAACAGCAACGAGAAAAUUGGGUUGCUACUUGCAGUGGUCACUGAAACUGAGGCAAAAACUCAAACACCUUGGUUGAGCGGUGAAAAUGGUCUGUACUAUCUAAACUUAGAGGGCAUUAGCGUCGAUGGCGCAAUGCUCAAUGUUUCGAGUUCAGUUUUUAAUAUGACCGCUGGUGGAGAGGGAGGUGUUUUCAUGGACUCGGCAACAACUCAUACUAUGGUUGCAUUUGGAGCUUUUAGUGAGCUGAGAAGGUAAUCAUAGAUGCUUUAUCAGAUUUCCAUAGAGUGGGAGAUUAUGAUGGCAUUUUUAUAAUUUGUUACGAUGAUAGCCGGUUUCAAGCUGAUAAAACGCCGGAAAUUGUGCUUCAUUUCACGGGACUGGAGUUUCCGGUGAGUGCGGAUAACACUUGGGCGGUGAAUUCUCAUGGACACUACUGCCUGGCUAUUUUGCCAAGUUUUGCAGGUUUUACUAUCUUUGGAAUGUACCACUACCGUACCAGCACAGGAAUGUGAAUGUUGGGUAUGAUUUCGGUUAACAACAUCACAUCCUUCAAGUAUACAAAUUUCUGUCGGUAUACUUAAAAACGUGGAACAAAAUUACACACAUAGGCAGGGACUCUAGCUUUAUUAGGGAUUAUUAGUGAUGAUGGCACCUAAAUAUGUGGUACUUGUAAUUUUCAUUGGCAUCAUCUUUGUAACCGAAGAAAGUUGAGAUUCCAUCAUAAAAUUAAUUGGCAAUAUGGAGAGUAAUCCUACUUAUAAACUCAUGCAAGGUCCCUCCUCCCACCCUCCUCAACAGUAACAUGAUGUCAUCUGAGUUGUUUUCUAUCCAUUUUCUCCAAGUAAUAUUAGACAUUUUUCCUUAUUUAUAUGCAGCAUAUAGUUAGUGUUCUAAACACAAUCUAGGUGGUUGGCUACUGUCACAAAUUCCUAAGUAUUUAAAAAAUUGCAUAGGGUACCUAGACCGUCUAAGUGAAUUCUUUUUAUCAGUAAUUUACAGUUAUGACCCAUUUUCAUCAAACAAAAAAAAGAAACUCAAACUCUCUCUCUCCAUGGGAUUGCUUGCGUCUCUUUGCCAUGGUCUCUUCAAUAUCCAUGUAUUCAAUAAACGGUAGUACUUUAUAAUUUAUAUAUUCUUUCAUUUGCAUUUUAUCUUUCCCAAGUAUAUAUAUAUAUUUUUCUUCUUAAGUAUAAAUAAAGGUACUUAUUUAUAUGUUAAUUAAAUAAAUUUUAUUAAAAUUAUAAAAAAUGCUUAACCCCAACCUAGUCUCUUUAGGUGUUUGACCCCAAACUGCCGUCCGAUUACCGCCUACGAUUUUUAGAACAUCGCAUAUAGUACUACAACUACAAGACUUCAAUUGAGAAAUUCAUCAAAUAAGCUUAUAUCCGUAGACAAUAGCAAUGUCCUCCAUAACGUCACAAGCUAUAACAUGUAGAUUGACAAAUCCGAAUAAACAUGUGACUUUCCCCUCCAGAUAAACAUGUGACUAAUUAAGUUUGAUUUGGCCGAAUAUUUAUUUGAUAAAAUUGAAAAAGGGACUACACGUAUUUUUAAUACAAGAGUCCUAACAUCUUGCCCUACAAGUAACGAAACUGAUUUCUCCCAAUUCCACAUCUGCCACUACACAAAUAUUACUCGAUUCUUAUAAGAAAUUACAAACAAUUACUCGAUACAUUAAGGGAAAUAUAAAUGUCUUGGAGUACAAGAUAACCUUAAAUAGGGUUAAUACACAAUACUUACUUGAUCUACUACGUAUCUAGGUUUCUUUCCAAUUGCCAUACACAGAAGCAAAUAUCAAUUACACUUUACAGACCUUGAUCCAACCCUAUAUAUUACCUCCCGCUGCUAUACAACAAUGCUCUAAAAUUUUAGACCUGCAUCUCUACCAACCAUGGCAUCAACGCUAAUAUUCUCCCUCGUUGCACUAAUUUCAAUCAUCACCGUCCCUUCCUCCAUGUCUUCUCCUAAAGCAUCCGUUAAAGGCUUUGAGGUGCGUCUCAUUCACCGCGACUCCCCUGCAUCUCCGCUCUACAACCCUAGGGCAACACGUGCUGAUCUCAUAAAAUCAUCCGGCCGCAGAACCAUAGCGAGACAGAACUACUUCAACUGGCUAAUGUCAAAUAAAACGUGGAGCAGGUAUUCGAGCAGUUACGUCUGGGCGCCUAUUGAUCAAAGCCCAGGAGAUUACAUCAUGAGGUUUAAAGUCGGCACCCCGGAAGUUGAAACCUUCGGAGUCUUUGACACUGGCAGCCACUUGACUUGGCUGCAGUGUGAGCCUUGUGAGCAGUGUUUCAGUCAAACCAUAACAAUAUACAAUCCUGCAAGCUCACAAAGCUAUGAGAAGGCCAUGUGUGGCUCGGUUGUGUGCAACACAGCCUCAG
rnacentral:lncRNA from 1 species